ACCCUGACCGCCGAAAGCCCCUCAUCCGCUACGUCGCCGGCGACUCCAUCUCCGUGAAAAUCGCCGUCUCCGGCGGCAACUUCGACGAACUCGUCGGGAACCACCCACGCGACGCCGACCAGUUCUACGACUUCGUGCCGGAAAUCCCGCCCGCAACGGAAGAUUCCGAGUACAAAAUAGUCCCUGUAUUUGCUCUUCAAGUGACGCUAUUUCCCGGCCGUGGAAUUUGUAUCGGCUUCUCCAACCUCCACUGCCUCGGCGACGCGAGAUCGAUCGUCGGCUUUGUGCGGGCAUGGGCUUCCAUGUGCAAUCUCGCCGGAGAAUCAGUGUUAUCUCCGCCGAUUUUCGACAGAUCCGUUAUCAACGACCCUCUCAAAAUCGACGAUAUAUUCUGGAAAGCGGUGGGAAAGAUUCCGUUCACACCAUCGUCGUUCCCGAUACCGACGAACAGGGUCAGAGCCACGUUCACUCUCCACCAAUCCGACAUUAAAAAGCUCAAAGAAAUGGUUCUUGCCAAGAAACCGGAUUUAGGCCACGUGUCGUCUUUUGUCGUAACUGCGUCCUACAUUUGGACAACCUUAGUGAAAUCUGCAGAUCAUGUAGAGGAAGAAGAUCAGAACACGCAUGAAUACUUCGUAUUCGCAGUCGACAUUCGCGAGCGGAUAAAUCCAGCAGUGCCCACUAAUUACUUCGGCAAUUGCCUAGGCGCAGGUUUACCAAAAAUCUUUAUUUUAUUUUAUUUUAUUAGUUACUGGUUGACCCGAACCCAUGACCAAAUAGGUCCUAAGUGGGACGUGCUUACCAACAGGCUACCUUGUCUUUGUUUCAGGUACUGCGGAAAUCGAGCAUGGAAAGCUAGUCGGUGAAGAAGGGUUGUCAGUUGCGGCUGAAUACAUGGCUGAGGAUAUCAAGAACAGGAUUAACAACAAAGACGAGGUUUUGAGAGGCGUUGAGAAUUGGAUGGAUGGAAGUAAGAAUCAUAUGUUGGACCGGGCCGUUGGGGUUUCGGGUUCGCCGAGGUUCGAUUUUUGUGAUGCGGAUUUUGGAUGGGGAAGAGCGAGAAAGCUCGAAGUUGUGUCGAUUGAUGGAGAGAGGUGUUCGAUUUCGUUGUGCAAGUCUAAUGAUUCUGAAGGAGGAUUGGAGAUUGGAUUGUCUAUGCCUAAGGAGAGAAUGGAUGCUUUUGCUGCUGUAUUUGCAGAUGGCCUAAAAUCUUGAGUGUUGUAUGAUAUGAUUUAGUAUUUUUAAAUGUGGUUUUAGCAAGGAAUAAAUGUUUUUAUAGCCUUUAUUAUUAAAGUAUAGGUGGGUUAGAAUCGUGUCCCUCUUCUAUUUUCAAUUUGUAAUAGGAUUUGAAUUUCUUAUAAUUCGGAUUUCUCCCAUAAAUUUAGAAUUAUUUAACAUUUUUAUUCAUUGGUGCGCACUUAUGGUAAAUGCCUUUUAACCCAAUUGACCAUUGCUAGAGGUGAAAAUCUGUCGUCCGGCCAACUUUCGGGCAAUCCACGUUGUUUGAUCGAUCUGAUCGGCUCCAAAUUACUGCUUACUCGGGUCCCCCGUGAUUUUUUACAUGUGCUCGAUUUUGAGGGACGUAUAAAAUUCAGUAUUCUAAAAAUCGAUCGAGGCGGCCGAUUAAUCGGUCUCCGCGGCGGAGGCGGUCUAAAACCUUUACGAUCUUGGUGUAACGGUUUAAAAAAUCAAUUUUUUGCCUAUGAUGUGAUUUUUGGCGGUUCGAGGCGGGUUGAGACGGUCAAGUCUUGGAGGCGGGUCAAAAAUUGGUGGUAAAAAUCGGUCAAAAAUCCCUUUUUUUUUUUAAAUAGGGUUCAAAUAAUGAAAUUAAAAUUAAAUCAGGGUUUUAAUUAGUUGGCGUAAUUUUGGUUUCAAAUACGAGAGAGUUUUCCUUAAUAUCAAAUAAGUAUUAGAGGAGAGGAUAUAUUUGCAAAACAAAAAAGUUGAACAUAAUUAUAGACCUAUUUGCCGUAACCGUUUUUUUUUUCCUUAACUCAUUUAAAAAAUGUUUAUAAAUAUCUAAAUUAUUCAAGAAGACUAGCUACCAACAUGGAUUGCAUCCAUCUAAAUGUUAUGAGAUAUGCAUGCAUCCAUAUUUUGAGAGGUUCAAAAUUAUCUAGAUCACAAAGAAAAUUUUAGAGAUAGAUCAAUUCUAGUAGGUCUCUAGAAUUAUUUAUUGAAGCCUAUAAAUAAAAAUAUGUUCAUUGUAAACUCAUCAACUGACUAUGCUUAUUCUCUUUCAAUUUUAAGUGCUAUUCUUUUUUCUCUUUUCUUAUUUUGAAUAUAAUCACACAAAAAUUAGAAUAAAACAUUCAAUAAGAAAAUGUGAUGUUUACUGUAAAAGAAGAAAAGAAAAAACAAUAAGGAAAAGUGUUAAGCACGUAACUAAAAAACAUUAUUCAUAUGUAAAUUCAGUCUUGUAGGACUCUCUUCAAUCUCUCCAUUGCCAUGCUUCUUCACAUGUAAUUUCAGAAGCGUAGGACUCUCCUCAAUCUUUCCAUUGAUGCUUCUGAGUGUACAGUCUAACGUAAAAUAUCACAUUCCAUCUCUUCAAUCUCUUCUCUUCAAUCUUUCCAUUGCCAUGCUUCUUCACAUGUAAUUUCAGAAGUGUAGGACUCUCCUCAAUCUUUCCAUUGAUGCUUCUUCACAUGUAAUUUCAGAAGUGUAGGACUUUCCUCAAUCUUUCCAUUGAUGCUUCUAAGUGUACAGUCUAACGUAAAAUAUCACAUUCCAUAAACCGCUCACCAGCUCAACAGAAAUAAGAAAAAUAACAUCGUUUUUGAAUUAACUGAUCUUUAUUUUAAAUUAUGCGCCUUUCUUUUAGCCUAUGAUUUAUAUACCCGAAUUAAAUUAAAGUUAGUUAAAACUUAGAAAUAAUAAAAGUAAAUAAAUAUUAGCUACAAUAUUCUCGGACCUCUUUUCAAACUUUAUUAUUUACGGUUCCAUUUAUUGAUGUUAUCAAUGCAAAUUUUAAAUAAAUUAUGAUUUUCCAAACCACAUUAAUUUCGUAUUAUUUUUUAUAGAAUUUUGGCAUUAAAUGUGUUUUUAGCGAGGAAUAAAUAUUUUAUAACCCUGUAAUAUUAGAAUACAGGUCAAGGGUUCAAAUGCUGCCUCAUCCCCCUUUUUUUUUUUUUUUUGAGUAAUUCAAGUCAUUACAAGGGGAAGUAGGGGAGGGGGGACUCGAACCCUAGACCUUUUUACCCUAUUGGUAAGGCUAGGUACCAACUCUCCUAAUGAGGGUUGGUUGCUGCCUCAUCCCCUACUUUCACUAUUUGUAACUGGGUUUGAAUUUAAAAAAGAAAAAGAAAAAAAAAUCUUGUCUAAUACAGAUAUUUCCUCUAUAUUUAGAAUUAUUUAACGUUUUUAUUCAUUGGUGUGAACCUAUGUUAAAUGCCUCUUAACCCCAUUGACCCUAUGUUAGAGGUGAAAAUCGAUAGUUUGACCCACUUUUGGGCAAUCCGCGUAUAUGAUUGUUCUGACUAGGGGUGUAAACGAGCCGAGCUCGCCUUAUUUCCCGAGCUCGAGCUCGAGCUCGACGAUCCUAUGAUUUUCAGCUCGAGCUCGAGCUUGUUGUGUUUCUAAGGAGCUCAAGCUCGGCACAACCAAAAUUUCAUUCAAUUAAAAAAGUAAUAUUAUUCUUUUUUAUUUAUUAUUAAGGGGAAAGUACAGUUUGCACCCCUGAACUAUGGGGCUUGUCACAAACACCCCCUUAAACUACAAAACGUACCAAAAUGGUCCCUCCGUUUUCAACCCGUUUGUGUGUGAUGACGUGUCAAGUGACUUUUUUGAUUCUUAAUUAAUUUUGAGUCUGCAGCAUUUUCUUGACGUUUUUACCCCCCUCUCUCUCUCUCUCUCUAUAUAUAUAUAUAUAUAUAUAUAUAUAUAUAUAUAUAUAUAUAUAUAUAUAUAUAUAUAUAUAUAUAUAUAUAUAUAUAUAUAUAUAUAUAUAUAUAUAUAUAUAUAUAUAUAUAUAUAUAUAUAUAUAACUAAUAUCAUUAACAAAUACACUAAACUAAAUUAAAGCAGGAAAUGAAUUUUAAAAAAUCGUAAAAAUUUGCAGAGAAAUAGAAGAAAUUACAAAAAUUGAAUUUUGGGCAUUUAGAAUUCAUUCAAACACAACAACUCUCUGCUUCCAAAUCUUCCUGGCUACCACUGACCUUAAAUUGCUUUUGUAAUUAUGAAUUAAUCCCCAAGUGUUGGGAGAAAUCGUUGACCCCAAAUUGUUGGGUGGUCUAGUCGAUAAAUCCCUUCGUCUUCGUCGGUCCACAGGCACCGAAAAAGCUUGUGGAAUUCGUCGGGUGGGACGCGUUUCUUGGCGACGAUGGGUUUAUGUUGAUCAUUUUCUUAUUGUUGUAGUCUGUUGUGGGGAUCGGAGACGACGGCAGUGACUUGGGCGGCAGAGACAACGGUGACAGCGGCGAGGCAGAAUCGUCUUUUGUUAGAACAUUCUUCAUCAUCUCCAUCGACGAGGUCUUCAUUAUUGAAGAGGCCAUACAUUUAAGUAUUUCUUGAUUUGACACCGAGUUGGGCUAAUUGGUCGGAUUCGAGUGAAGCUCUUCAAAGGGGUGGAAAUAGAGCGAGAGAGAAGGGGGCACCGCCGACAGAAAAUGAAGAAAAAAGAAUAAAAGUGUGAAAGUGAAGAGAGGGGGCGGGCAUCACCUGCAAAUGAAAAGGAAAGAAUAGGAGAGAGAGAAGAGAGAGAAAGAAUAGGAGAGAGAGAAAUAGAGAGAGGAGAGAGAGAAGUGGUUGUUGACUUGGUCCAAUUUAGUAAGCAAAAUUUGAGGGCAAUUAAGUAAAUGUACAAUAAAACUAACGGUGUUAAUUUUGUUAACGUUGACCGUAAAUGACAUGGGUCGUUUUGGUACGUUUCAUAGUUCGGGGGGUGUUUGCGACAAGCCCUAUAGUUCAGGGGUGCAAACUGUACUUUCCCCUUUUAUUAAUAAUAUCCAUUAUUAUAUAUUAUUAAUAAGUAUUAAAAAAUAUAAAAAGGUAAAGCUCGUGAGCUGUCGAACAACCGAAAUGAAGCUCGAGCUCGGCUCGUCGAAAAGCUCGGGCUCGCUAACUCGAGCUUGAGCUCGAUUUUUCGAGCUCAAGUACGAGCUUUUUUCGAGCAAGCUCCAGAAGCUCGCGAGCCGGCUUGACUCAUUUACACCUCUAGUUCUGACCGGCACCAAAUUACUGCUUACUUGGGUCCUACGCGAUUCGUGUAUGUGCUUGAUUUUGAGAGAUGUAAAAAAUUUAGUAUUUUAAAAAUCGGUCGAGGCGACCGAUUAAUCGGUCUUCGAGGCAUAAGCGGUCCAAAAUCUUUACAAUUUUGGUGUAAAGGUUUCAAAAAUCGAUUUUUGUCUGUAAGGCGGUUUUAGGCGGUUCGAGGCAGGUUGAGGCGGUCAAGCCAUGGAGACGGGUCAAACUUUGGGUGUAGAAAUGGUCAAAAAUCGCUUUUUUUUUAAAUAAAAAAAAGUUAGAGUUUAAUAAAAAAUGAAUUUAUGCUUUGUUUUAUUUUGUUAAUCUUAAUUUUUAUUUUUAAUGGAUCUAAUAUAUGCUUGUCAUAUUCAAGCAUAUAUUGGGAUGGACAAGAUUUUCUUUUUAUUUUAUUUUGUAAGGAUUUUAAUUAUAUUAUGAUCUUAUUGUUAUUAAAAUUUUAUUAUAUGAUUAUGAUAUAUAAAUGAUGGCGAUAGAAUCAUGUUUAAAGAUACUUUUAUAUAAGUUUUGAGCAUUAACAAAUAAUAUUUAGAAUUAUAUUACAUUAAAUUAAAAAAAUCGAUUUAUUUUUGAUUUAUCGUCGAUUAACCAUGGCCGCACUGUUAAAUCGUGAGGUGAUAUCUAUCUGACUCGGUCCGAUUCCUACCUUUUACAAACUUAAUAAAAUCUAUGUAAUGAUUAGGAAAAAAACAUAGACAAUAUCUUUAAGGGUGUUGAAAAGAAAAAUAUAAAAAAAAAAUCAUUUGUAACACUUACAUUUCUAACAGAUAAGUUAAAUACCCCUCUAUAGCAUAUAUUUGUAACACUUACCCCAUUUAAGUAUUAUUUGUAACACUUAAUUCCCUCGAACACACUUUAAGUUCUAUUUUAAAUUAUGAACACUUUACAAAUAAGCACAUCUAUGGGUACUUAUUCCUAAAGAGGUCCAGACAAUACAUUAUUUUACAAAAAAGUCCACACAUGGUCUAGAGGUUUGUAAAAGACUAAAAUAGCCUAUUAUAUUUUAAUAAGCUCCAAUUUCAUCCUCUAAUUUAAUCUAACCUCUAUUUGACCCAAAAUUUUACAAAUUAUUCAAUUUUGACCCAAACAAAUUUUUAUGGACAAUUUCAUCUGUCACCGCUGUUAACCGUCGGUCUCCGGCGUUGACUUUUUUUUUUCUUCCUGAUUUUUUCGCCGGUUUCCAAAGUUGACUUUUUCGAAUUUUUUCUUUAACAUCUUUUUGUCCCCGUUUAAACAACAAUAUUGUUGUGAUUGACAAUAAUAAUUACUAUAUUACUGUUAAACACAGUAAAAUUAACUAUACUACAGUUUAAAACAGUAAUAUUGUUAUAUUAAUCUCGAACACAAUAAUAUUAACACAACAAAAGUCAUUUUUUUUUGAAUAAUAUAGUAAUAUUAAUAUGUUGACCGUUCAACAAAGGUUAACAUAAUAAAAAGCCAAAAGAAUCAAUAUCACUGUGAUUGACAGUAAUAUUACUAUAACAACAGUAAUAUUACUGUCAACCACCGUAAUAUUAUUGUUUUACAGUAAUAUUAAUAAUAGACAAUAAUAUUAUUACGUUAUUCCGUGAAUAACUCAAACAAAACAAAAAAUCCAAAAAAAUAAAUAAUAUUGAUGUGGUUGACAGUAAUAUUAUUGUGUUUACAGUUAAUUUACUGUCAACAACAGUAAUAUAAUUACGUUGACUUGUCAAAAAAUCAAACAAAAUUUAAAAAAUAAAAUAAUAAAAUAAUAAUAAUAUUGUCGUUGACUCUAACUGUAUUGUCAACGGCAGUACAAUUACAUUAAUGUACUGUCAGUGACAAUAUAAUGAUGCUUUUGCUGCUGCAUUUGCAAAUGGCCUAAAAUCUUGAUUUAAUUUCUGAUUAUAUUGUUACCACUUUUGUAAUGAUGGUUUAUUCAGAAAUAAAUGAUUACCAUAUAUGCUAAUAUGCACCCAUAAUCCGUUUGCUUUUGGUGCGUUUGUGUGGUUUAGGGCAUGGUUUAAUUUUGAGUUAUUUGCACAAAUCCACUGUCUAAUGUCUAAUGGCUAAAAAAAUCUUAUAUUAAAAUAACUAGCACAAACCACCCUUUGUAUUGUUUUGUUUAGUCCACCACUCCUUACAUAUUUUUGGCAUGUUGACUUAAUUGAUGUUUACUCUAAUUAAAAAAUAAAGCAAAAAUACAGAAAAUACUUAAAAACACGUGGUUAUCAUCUCUUCAUCUCUCAUCACAUUCUCUGCCGUUGUCGCUGCAAAUGGUCCGUCGGAGACGUCCACCAGCUCAUUUCCUUCUAGAACUUAGUUCCUAGCUCUGGCAAAAUCUCCAAAUUGCGAACCACAACACCCAUUUGCAACUUCCACGGUGUUCCUUAAAAAAACGAGACUCUUUGCCAUUUAUUUGAUCUUCUAAGAAACCAUGGCCCGAAAACUCCGAAGAAACAAUCGACAAUGCCUCUGCUUCCAAGAACGGCCGCCGCCAUCGUACGAAGGUGAUGAUGGUGGAAGAAACUCAUUUUUGGGGCCUUCAUUUUUGCUGCCCGGCCUCACUGCCUAUCGCCGCACACCUGCGCCGCGGAAUGGGGCAACUCAAUUGGGAGAAGAGCGACCAAUCAUCAGCCGUCCCCACUCUAAUUGCAAACCCACGUCUAGUUUGCGGUUGUGGGAGGCAGAUGUGAAAGAUGUGGUGGUGGUGGGGUGGUGCAGAAGGGUUGAGACACUGCUUGGUGGUGGUGAGAAGCAGCGGAUGGCUGAGGUGGGUUUUUUUGGGGGGUUUUCGGUAAGCAAUUCAGUCCCCUGACUUUGGAGAAGAGGGCUUUCGUGAAACUUCAAGGGACUGAAUUGAAAAAAUUGAAAACUUUAUUUGGGGCUUAUUUUUUAAAUUUAUAAUGUAAAGGGUAUUUGAGUUUUUUCACGACAAAAAAUUUAUAAUGUAAAGGGUAUUUGAGUUUUUUCACGACAAAAAAAUUAUAAUGUAAAGGGUAUUUGAGUUUUUUCACGACAUGGUUAGUUUUUAGCGUUUUGGUACGGUAACGGUAAGCCGCAAUGUUCGGUAGGUAUGAGCAAGCAAAAUAUUUGACAAUUGUAUCGAAUCCACCUCUACUUCAUUGGAUCGUAAAAACCCAGUACUUUUCUAAGAUCUUUUCCUUCUCUUCUAGAUUGAACAUCAAUUGCAAUGAUUUGAUAGUGUUUUUUUUUUCAUUGACUUGCAUCCAUGUUAAAUGGCUCUUGAAAAAAACAGAGUAUUCUUAAGUUUGUUAUAAUAAAUAAUAAUAAUAAUGACAUUUCAAGGCAAUUUUCGAAUUAAUUGAUCUUUGUUCUAAAUUAGGCACAUUUCUUUUAGCCUAUGAUUUAUAUCAAUAAAUUAAAUUAAAGUUAAUUAAAAAUAAUAAAAGUAAAUAAGUACUCCAUCUGUUCCACAAUAAUUAUCUCUUUUAAGAUUUUUUUUCUCCAUAUUAUAUGUCACUUUAUAAUUCCAAUGGCUGCAUUAAUUACAUAUUUUUCAAUUAUACCCUUAUUAACUCUCCAACAUUCUUUAUGCAUUAAUUAGUAAACAAGGGUAUUUUAGUCUAUAUAUAUAUAUAUAUAUAUAUAUAUAUAUAUAUAUAUAUAUAUAUAUAUAUAUAUAUUCCUAAAAUAAGACAUAUUUAUUGAGAUUUUUAAGAUUUGUGCCAAGAUGAAAAACGACACAUAUUUAAGAACGGAGGGAGUAUCUGGUCUUUUAUAGAAACAAACCACCUGUUUAAAGGAGUCUAUAAAAUAUAGAUACAUAUUAAAUCAAAUAAAAGAUUGAGAACAAAAAUCACAAUAAAAAUCAUUUGAAAUUACCCCCACUUUAAAAUAUAGAACAAAAUACAAUUUGCACCAUGAACUAUAGAGUUUUGUACCUAAAACCUCCCUAAAUUCCAAAAUGUAUCAAAUUGGCCCCUUUGUUUCUAAUCCAUUUGUAGUGUGCUGAUAUUGCAAGUUAACUUUCUGCAGUAAAAUUAUUUUGACAUUUUUACCCUCCAUUGCUAUAUUAAUAUAAAUAAAGAUAUAUACAUUCAGCUUCCAUGAAAGUGCACGCAUGGGUGUAGCUUAACUGGUUCCGGAGGUGGUAAGUUGGUGCAAUGUUAUAGGAUCGAAUCCUGGCAGCCGCAGUGUGUGAGAUUCAACUCCAAUGAGGGUUAGUUCCUUGUGGGCACAGGUCGUUGAGUUACCAUGAUUUACAUUCCUCCAUCAAAUACUUGUCGGCAGAAGCACCGUUGAGUUACCAUGAUUUACAUUCCUCCAUCAAAUACUUGUCGGCAAAAGGAUAGGGGCUCUGAGGGCGAGGGAUUCGCUUUUUCUUUUGGUUACAAGCUUCCAUCAAAGUAAAAUUAACGAUUAAAGUUAAUCAAAAUUAUAUUAAACAAAUUGAUUGCAAAAUAAAUUCAACUCUCACAAAGAGCCACCCAGAUGCUGCUACCCAAAUUCAAUCUCUUUAAAAUUUCUCUUAAAGUUAGAAUUCCACUGAAAAACAAAUUCCACCGGAAUGAAUGGUCGAAAAAAUCGAGAACCCGUAUCUCAGGGAAGAGAGAAAUCGGAAGGGAAGAAAAACAAAAAGAGAGUUGUGCAUGUAAUAGCAAAUGGGCACAUACCGCAUACGACCCUUCUUCCCAUACGACCUUUACUUUCCAUAUGUAAUCGUAUUUGGUUAACAAAAGGCCUAUUUUGUUGAGCUUUUCAUAUAUUUCUUCUUGAGCCGCACCAUGGACAGUGUGGUGAAAAUGUAAAGAUGGAGAACAAAUUGAAUUGCAAAAAGUUAUGUAGCAGAUUAAAUCUAAGGUGGAAGAAUGUGCGCUUAAUUACUAUGGUUGUACUCAGAGAAAGCAAUCCCAACACCGUAGACACAAUUUAAGGAUAAAACGGUAAAUUCACUCAUAUACUAACGGUGUUAUUUUUUUUAACGGUUGACUAAAAAUAGUAGGAGUUAUUUUGGUACGUUUUAUAGUUCAGGGUACAAAAGGUAUUUUGCCUAAAAUAUAAUUAGAGUUGAUAUGACUUGUUUUUGUAGUAUAAUUGGUGAUGAACAAUCUGCAAUAUUUUUAUUAGGGCUAAAUACAGUUUACACCCCUGAUGUAUGGGCCUUGUAACACUUACCCCCUAAUGUAUGAGAUGUACCACUUUCCCCCUUAGAGUUUUAGUUAAACGGUCAAACCUUGACGCCGUUAAAUUAAUCAGCCAAAUACCUAAAUAGCCCUCCAAUGCAAAAUACGGUGUUAAAGCAAACAGUCUCUUCGCCUUCUAGCAAAGAAACGUCUUCUGCCUCUCCCAAGAAAGAAAUCUGGCUCACUCGAUUUUUCUCAAUAAUGUUUGAAGGAUAAUUUUUGCUACAAGCGUUGGCCCAGGUUAGUUAAAUUUAGCCAUGGUAGUAUCAUUUACCAGUUUUAUGUGGGUUCAAAGUUUUCGAGAUAAUUUCUAUUUUAUUGCUAUUAUACUUUAUUUGAAAGUAGAUUGACAUUAUCGCAUACAUUAGAAUUGGGAAACUUUUUGUAUUUGCAAAAGUUUCGAAAAGAUUGUGUUGUAAAAAGUAUGGUUUUCAAUAAUGUUGAGUGAAUUUUGCAUGGGUAAUACAUUAUUUGACUUUGAUAAAUUGUCUCUGUUAGUUGUUAUUUAAUAGGUUUUUUGUGUUGAAAAAAAAUGUUUUGCAUUUUAUAUUAGGUUUUUUUUUUUGUUUUUUUCCUAUGCAAAUAUAUGUCUUUAUGUAUUUCGUAUGACUUAUACAAGCCAUUUUUAGUAAUAAAAAUGUUUGCUUUUGUUUGUAAUUUUUGGGUUUUUUUUGCCAUGCGAUUGUUGAUCAAAAGAUAGGUUCCAUAUUUAUUUAAUCCUGUUAUGUUGACUGCAUAUUUUCUAUAGUUUGUGUAAUUGAGCAAUUCUUUGUUUUUUCAUUGUGGUUACAGGAAAAUAUGGUAAUUCCACAAAUACCACAUGUGGUAGAAGGAGGAACUAGGAUGGAGGAUAUUGAUGAUGACGGCGAUUCUACUUAUAUGCCUGAAAGUGAAAGUGAAAGUGGGAGUGAUAUAGUUUCCGACUUUGAGUAUUUUGCUGAGAGUGAUAGCCUAAGUGACACAUGUGAUCCAAUAGGUGAUGAAUUCGAGCACAUGAAUAACUUCAUGUGCUCAUGUGAUAGCCUAAGUGACACAUGUGAUCCAAUCGGUGAUGAAUUCGAGCACAUGUGACACAUGGACUAGUGAUUUAAUAACUAUGUUGUGAUUACAUGAACUUCGUUCUCUCAAGGUCGGAGAAUUGAUUAUUCCAACUAUAACAGAGCAUAUGAACACGUGGACUACGGUUUUUGGUUUCCACAAAAUCGAGGAUUUACACAAGAAAGAAAUGAAGUCCAUGAAUAUGUUGGUGUUUCCGGGCACAGAUAUGCUCCACAAGGAGUUAGUGAAGCAAGAAAAUUCCGAUGGUACACAGUUUUUCUUUUAUCUUUUUUUUUUAAUGUUGUGCCAACAAAAUCGAACUAUUUUGGCGGUGCCUCUGAUUUUGCUUUUUUUUUUUAAUGGUGUAGUAGGUGUGAAGGUUUCUGAAUCAACUAACAAUCAGCCUCAGUUGCCUGGUUUGGUAAAUAAUUCCGAUAUUGAACCAUCGUUGGAGCAGAAGCAAAAUAGUGACGAAGAUGAUGUGUUGGAUUCUGGCCCUUCAAAUGCUAUUUGUGAAUCUGAUAAUAAUACUGCUGCAGCUAAUUCCGCUGAGGUGGAAAACGAGCAAAAAGAAGAAUCGUAUGCUAACUUAAAUUCCUCUCCCUCACCUGAUGAAUGCAAUAAUAGGCAAAUUGGAAAUGAGGAGUUUGAGUUUACUGGUUGGGGAGAAAAAUAGGCUACUUAUUUUUGUUUUUUGUUUUGACUAGACCGUUUGAAAUUUUUAUUGGACUAGCUUAUAUUUUGGUUUUGAAAACUCUAUUUUGCUAUGACCAAGUAUGGUUUUUGCUAUAGCCAAGUGAAGCUUAGCUCCUAAUUUUGUAUCGAAAAAUAUGAAGAUGGUAUUUAAUAUGAAAAUAUUGCUAUUUGUGAGUAUAUGUNNNNNNNNNNNNNNNNNNNNNNNNNNNNNNNNNNNNNNNNNNNNNNNNNNNNNNNNNNNNNNNNNNNNNNNNNNNNNNNNNNNNNNNNNNNNNNNNNNNNGUGUAAAUAGACAAAAAAAACCCCUGUGAAAAUGUCUAUUUUUAUAGUAUUAAAAAAGCCACAAAUGGAGAUAUUUAAAUUCUUUUUUUUUUUAUUUGAAGUAAAAUAUUUAAAUGAGGAUAUUUAAAUUCUUACUUUCUAAUGUUCUAACUAUUUUAUUUUUUUAUACUGAUAAAAACUAAUUUUAUUUUUGUUAUAUCUUUUAAUUAAAAAAAUGGAAAGGGGUUUUUUUAUUUUUAAAAUUAUAAUAUAAUUUCUUUAUAACUUUUAAAUUAUUCAUACACUAAAUUAUGUUAAGAAAAAAAAAAUUACAAUAUUAUUUAUAUGUUUAUUGAUGAUUUUUUUUUUUUUUAAUAUAAUAUUUCCAUUUAAUUUGUAUACUAAAUUUUUAAUAAUCAGAAAAAGUCAAGAAAAUCCAAAAAAAAAAAAAAAAAAAAAAAAAAAAAAAUCGAAUCAUCAUCAUCUUCAACGAUUUGAAUCCCGAUGCCAUCUCCAUCGUCUUCCCACUUAAUUAUUGAAUCCCAACCAGCAAAAACAAACUAGAAAAUUCUAUCUAUUUUUUUUGUCAAGAUCCAAAACCAAACAAAACAAAAAUUAAAAACAAUGGGAAAGAAGCUAGUUUUGUUUCUUCAAACCUAGCAACAACACCAAAAAAGAAAAUAAAAAAAAAAUCCACAAAAUCCGUUGAACACGAACGCAUAUGUGAUAUGUGGUGAACAAAGGCUCGAACGCCAGUUUGUAAUCGGGGUUGUAGGGCUCCGCUAGGCUCCAAUUGCCGCCGCCGCCGCCGAAGAGGGCUUCUAGAUCAGAGUCCGGAAGCUCCUCCGAUCGUCAGCGCCUUUGUUCGUCCUCACGAAGUGCUCGAUCCUGGACUUCGCGCGGCGUCUAUUGUAGAGCAGCACAGCGGAGCAGCCGACGGUGGAGGCUGUGCUGCGGUGGUGGGAGGAGGCCGGUUGAAUUGAAGUUGGGAAGAUGGAGAUUAAGGUUUGUGUAACCCUAAAAAUCAUGAAAUUACAUAUUAAUAAAAUUUGGGGGUAAUUAUGUAAUUUCAGGUCUAAAAAAUCUUCACCAGCUGCACACUCGGCGAGUGUGCAACACGAAAAUGCACUAGGGGGGUUUUUGCCUUUAACAAAAUUUCAUAGGGGGGUUUUUGCUAGUUUAUUUAUCAUAGGGGGGUUUUUGCUAGUUUGAAAUUACACAGGGGUACUUUUUGCAGUUUACUCUUCUUUAUAUCACGUAUGAUAUAUUAAUGUAAAAGUUGCAAUAUUUUCACACACUAUGUACAGGGACAGAUAUAUUAAAAAUUGAAAUAUUUAAGGUUGAAUCAUUUUCAACAAAAAAAAUGGAAAAGGGGAUAAUGUGGACGUAAGGGGUAUUAUUGGUAUAAAACCUCCAGCUGUCAGUUUUUCAGUAAAUAAUGUGCCACGUCAGCAAAAUCAAGAUUUCAACCGUCAAGUUAUUAACAGAAGGGGGAAAGUGGUACAUCUCAUACAUCAGGGGGGUAAGUGUUACAAAACCCAUACUUUAAGGGUGUAAACUGUAUUUAGCCCUUUUUAUUAUUAUAUGCUAAAAUAAUAUUAACUUUAACACAUCAAAAUCGCAGUCUGACAUAGUAAUGUUGCUGGGCUAACAAAAUAUUACUGCCCAAUUAGUAAUGUUACUUGUUAACACAGUAAUAAUACGGUAGUGUUAUUACUGUCCUUACUUACUGUAAUAUUCAUGUAUGAUGGGCAUACAAUGAAGACAAUAUAAAAAAGACGAAAAAAAAUAUCAUCACCGGAAGAGGAAUUUNNNNNNNNNNNNNNNNNNNNNNNNNNNNNNNNNNNNNNNNNNNNNNNNNNNNNNNNNNNNNNNNNNNNNNNNNNNNNNNNNNNNNNNNNNNNNNNNNNNNNNNNNNNNNNNNNNNNNNNNNNNNNNNNNNNNNNNNNNNNNNNNNNNNNNNNNNNNNNNNNNNNNNNNNNNNNNNNNNNNNNNNNNNNNNNNNNNNNNNNNNNNNNNNNNNNNNNNNNNNNNUGUACGUUUAUAUUAUAGCAGUGUUUUAAUAUCAGUCGUGGUUUAAAUAUCAGUCGUCGUGGUGAUUGAUAUAUCGGCCGCUAGACACGGAUUUUAAAUGAGGCAGAAACUUACGAAUAACUAGUGGUUCUAUAAUUUUUUGCCAUAUUCUUAGGGCAUCUCCUGUCGACGGGGGGCCCCCCGGGGCUCCCCCGACCCCGACCCCAACCCAUUUCUCGUCCAAUCGAUCAAUUUCUUUCUUCCAUUUUUUCCAUCACCACUCUCACCAUAUAAUAAUAAUAAUAAUAAUAAUAAUAAUAAUAAUAAUAAUAAUAAUAAUAAUAAUAAUAAUAAUAAUAAUAAUAAUAAUAAUAAUAAUAACAAUAAUAAUAAUAACAAUAACAAUAAUAACAAUAACAAUAAUAACAAUAAUAAUAAUAAUAAUAAUAAUAAUAAUAAUAAUAAUAAUAAUAAUAAUAAUAAUAAUAAUAAUAAUAAUAAUAAUAAUAAUAAUAAUAAUAAUAAUAAUAAUAAUGUUGUGCUAUUAUUAGGUUAUUAAUUAUAUUGUCAUUUUCUAAAACUAUUUUGUAAUAUAAUAACAUGUAAUGUUAAUAUAAUUAAUAGAAUGUUUGCAAUAAAAUUACUAUUUUAAAUUAAAAAUAUUGAAUUAGAUAAAAAGAAAACGAGAAAACUAAAAUAUAAUAGAAGAAACCAAUAAAAAAACUAAAAUAAAUAAAGAAAAAAGAAAGAGCAAAAAAAAAAGAGAACUAAAAUAAAAUAAAAUUAAAAAAAUAAGAAAUGAAAAAUAAAUAAAGAAAAGAAAGAAAAAAAUGAAAGGAAAAAAAAAAGAAUAAAGAAGGGACCAAAUCGGAACCGGACCCAACCAAGUACGGAUCGGUUUCAGAUCCCGAUUUUUUGGACUCGGGACCUGACGGGUCUACCCGGCGGUAGACACGGCCACGAGACGGGUCGGGUCCGGGUCCGGGUCCGACUUUUCCGGGACCCGAAACCGAUCCGUGGGGAGGCGGGUCCGGGUCGGGUCUGGGUCCAAAUCGGUUUUCCAAUUUUUCUUUUUUAUUUUUUUAUUUUUUUCCCAAAUAAUUACAAGAAAGAAAAAAAACUUAAAUUGAAACUUAGAAAAAAAAUUUGAGAUUAACUUUAAAUUCAAAAUUACAAAAAAAUUGAAUUUAAACACUAAUUUUUUUUAGAAAAAAUGAAAUGAUUAAGAACUUGAGACAUAAACUAAAUAAAGUGAAAGUUGUGAAGAUUGGAUUAUGGGUAUUUAUAAGUGAAAAUAAUAAUUGAGAAAUUUUCAAAAUUCAAAAUUCAAAAAAAAAAAAAAAUCAUUCUUCCUUUUAAAUUAAAUCGUAAUUUUUUAUAUUUUUCAAAAUUAAAUAUAUAUGCAUUUGUUAUUGGUUGAUAUUUUUAAUAUUAAUAAUAGUGAACAUGAGAAUUAAUAAUUUAUUAAACAUUAAUUAUAAAAUUAUUUAAAUCAUUACAGUGUUAUUUAUAGUUAUAUAUUUAUAACUAGGAAUAUUAUAAUAAUAAAUUACUUUACCUGAGUGGUUAAUACUAUAUUAAACCACUUAUGACACUUGGGCUCGAACCCCUAAUUUAGUGUUUUUUCUUUAAAUUGUUUAGCGUAUAAAUUCAAUUUUUUUUUGGUUAUUUGUUUUUUUGUUAUUUUGAAUUUAAAGUUAAUUUCAACUUUUUUUAAGUUUCAAUUUAAGUUUUUUUUCUUUCUUUUUUGUAAUCAUUUGGAAAAAUAAAAAAUAAAAAUUGGAAAAUCGGUUUGGACCUAACCCUGACCUGGACCCGGACCCGCCUCCCAACGGGUCGGUUUCGGGUCCCCUCAAACUCGGACGGACCCGGACCCGCGCUGCCCCGUGGCCGUGUCUAUGGGCCGCCAUAUCGAUGGCGAUCGUAAGCCUUUACGAUAUUGAUGAGGCGGUUUGAAAAAUCGGUUUUUGGACGGUGAGGCGGUUUACGACGGUUUGUGGCGUUUUGAGGCGGGUCAAGCCGAUACAUCGGGUCGGGUCAAAAAUCGGAAAAAAUAUCUAUUUUUUUUUCAAUUAAGAGGAAAAUAAGGUAGGGGUAAAACAUGUUUACAUAUUUUUUUAAUAUAUAUUUUGAGUAUUUACAAAUAAUAUUUAGAAAUAUAUUAUAUUAAAAUUUAAAAACCGAUUAUUUCGAUUCAUCUCCGAUUAAUCACUGCCGCGCUGAUUUAUGGUGUGGCGGUCCCUAACUGCCCCAGACUCGAUAACCACUUUUUAAAACCUUGUAUAGAGUAUAUAUAACUUUUUCUUGUAAUGAUGAAAUAAUAAUUGUAGAAAUUACAAAUUUUAAUUUUACAAAUAAAUUGUAAAACUUAAUAAUAGAAUAUAUAUAUUUUUUUUAUGGUAAUAAUAGAAUAUUUUAGAAAAGUGUGAAAAUGAUUUGAAUGUCAACUCAAUCAAAAUUCAAAGAUAACUAGUGAAUCGUUUGUUUCCAUGUGCACGUUUCAAAUUCUAAUUAUAUUAUAAUUCUAUUUUAUGUAUAUAUAUGGCCCGCCAACACCAAAUAUCUAGUUCUGUUUCCCGCCUCUUCUUUAAAAUCCCUCCAUUUUUUCCACUAAUUGUUUUCCCUCCACUCCCAAAAAUUUCCCCCAAAAAAUUCCCCCCAAAACCCUAAAUUGAACAGAUAUCGAAUCACAGGAAGCACUCCGAUUCCUCCUCGAAAAAACUCUAGUUGCCAAAAUCCUUGAGCAUCAAACAAAUGGGCUCCCCCGAAAUUAGCGACGAAGCAGCUCUGUCAAUGGAAGUUGAGAAUGAGAAUAAAACCGAAGAGGAUAAUCAUUCUGCAGCAAAUGCUUUCUGUUCGGGUGUAAAAUCUCAGCCUGAAUUUUAUGAUUUGGAUAACUCUCUCUCUGAUGGAAUUGUAGAAGAAGAAGACCCGGUCUCCCAAGACAACAUGCCUGCUGCUAUCACAGUAAUUCUCUGUUCUAUUCUAUUCGUUUUCUUUUUAAUCGAAACAACUGUAUCAAUCGGUGCUGGGAUUGUCUUUUUAGCGUUUUGCGUACACUGUAACCCUAUGAGCUCUUUUAUUUAUAUAAUUGAGUAGAUCUAGUAACUUUAUCUUUAUAUUUAUGUUUUUUUUUUUGUAAUUUAUUAUUAUUGAUGAUAUGAUAUGUGAAUAUUGGCAGGGGGCAGGGCUGGACAAUUUAGGCAAUACUUGCUUUCUAAAUUCAGUGUUGCAGUGCUUUAUGCACUCGGUUCCGCUUCUUCGUAGCAUUCUAUUGGAACCGCAUUCACUGAACUCUUAUUGUAAGUCAUUAUGCCAACUUUCAUUUUCGUACAAUACUUAGUGCGGUGUGUGCAUGAUUAUUUCAUAGCUACUAUUAAGAUUAGGAUGCAUUAUUCCUUUUUUACUUGUUUGGUACCUUAGUAUAGUAGGUUAUUAGGACCCUAAGUAUUGGGAUAUUUAUAGGAAUCAUUGUUUUGGGUUUUGAGGGCUAUUGGAUAACUUAUAUAUCGAAUUAUAUUUCGUUGGUAAGAAAACGUUGAAUUUACUGUGCGAUCAUAUCAUAUAUAUCUGAACUGUUGGUGCAUCUGUGUGAACAUUAUUUUGAAGGCAAUUUGUUAUUGUCUUGCCAUUGUAGUUAUUUUGCUGAUCUUUAGUGAAAUGCUUUUGUAACAAUGAAUUACUUACAGGCGAUGAACAAGGGUUUUGUACAUUAUGUGCUCUGCGGGAGCUUGUCAAGUCUUCACUGGCAAACAGGAUCGUCUCACCAUCGUAUUUCACCAACAACUUGAGCUGUAUCCUUUCUUGCAUCUCUGUCAUAUAUGCAAAUAUUUUCAUCACUGGCAACACUCGCUUAAUAAUAUCUAUGCUACAACAGAUACUCGUUAGUGUCUUUUGGCUCAACGGAACACAGUAAUGUGGUCCGACAUUAUCAUUUUGACUGAUGAGCUGUUAUUUUAUUGUGUUAUACAAGUUAUUAUGCCCGGUAGCUUUGUUUUUUGUGUUUCAAUAACCUUUAUGUUGCUUUGGGAUCCCUUAACUUGCAAAACUAUCAGACUUCUCUUCAAGUUUCAAGAAGUUCCAACAGGAAGAUGCUCAUGAAUUUCUUCAGUGCUUCUUGGAUAAGCUUGAAAGCUGUCACGAUUCACAGCGUAAAGAAUACACUUCUUCACCAACUGGUAACCUAGUGCAACAAGUAUUUGGGGGUCGUCUUGUUAGCAAAGUAUGAGCUCACUUCUGAAAUCUUUAUAUAUUUCUACGUAUCUUGUUUGUUUGUCAUGCACAAUAUCCAUCAUGUGUAGUUAUAUUUUAUAUGAUCAAUGGAAAAUGUACGAUAUGUAAUUACAUGUUUCUUUCGAUUGCAGCUCAAGUGUUGUAACUGUGACCACUGUUCCGACACUUAUGAGCCUUUGAUUGACACGAGUUUGGGGAUUGAGAAUGCAGACGACCUUGUAACAGCUCUUCAGUCAUUUACAAAAGUUGAAAAAAUUGACGAUCCAGAGGACAAGGUUACAUGCGAAAAUUGUAAGGAGUUGGUAUCUGUUGAGAAGCAGCUUUCAUUUGAUAAGGCCCCUUCAGUGGCUGUAUUUCAUUUGAAGAGAUUCGAGAACGACGGCUGUUGGGUGCAGAAAAUUGAUAAACAUGUGGCAUUUCCAUUAGAAUUGGACUUGCUUCCUUUCACUGAUAGUGGCAAAUCAAAUGAUGUAAGUUUGUCUUACUGCUUAUUCUGUCCGAACAUCUGAAUUUUUGUAAACAGAUUUUGAAGUUUCUUGACUCUGCUUAUGGGUGUUGUGUUUUAGCAGGCAGAUCUCAAGUACGUAUUGUAUGCUGUUAUAGUGCAUAUUGGAUCGACACCUACAUCUGGACACUACUACUGCUUCAUUCGAUUGUCCCCCAAUGUGUGGUGCAAGUUUGAUGAUUCUAGGGUAAUAUGUUCGACAUUUUUUAUGUGUAUUUGUAUACAUGCAUACACCCCUUUUUUUUCACUUGGCUGUUGUUAAGUACUGAGUGUCGAAUGAAUUUGAUUUUGUAGGUUGUGCUGGUCCAUGAAGAUUAUGUGCUGUCACAAGAGGCAUACAUUCUCUUCUAUGCAAAAGAGGGCACACCCUGGUUUUCAAGUUUCAUGGAAACUCAAUUAUCUUGUGUCCAUUCAACUAUAUCGAAAACUUCUCCGAGAUCAGUGUUGGAUAACGUAGAAACCCCAACCGUGUCGCCUCUUUUGCCAAACAACAAAUUUAGUUGUGAUUCCAAUGAAGUGAGUCACGAGAUUACUGGAUCGGAACGUAAGAGCAUACACACAAGUGUGGUUAAAGAUAUAGGACGAAUACAGAAUAAAUCUGAGAGCAUUGCAACUGCAGAAAAUUUGCAUAGAAAAUCUGCAACACCAGUAGUACACUGUCCUACUCCGACUACUGCUUCUUCAGAUGUUUCUUUUGGCCAAGCCCAGAAAAAGAUUUCCCCAAUCGUACUUAAAAAUGUUAAGAAGAUUCAGAAUGUUGAUGUGGUUGCAAAAUAUGAAAAAGAUAUUCAGAGAUCUCCGAGUCCAGAGAUAUACAGAGAAGAUCCACCUUGUAAAUUCACUAACCUUAUUCGUUUUUAAGGUUAACAAGUGUGUAUAUUUUAUGCUAUGCUAUGCUGACAAUGAAUUGUUUGUUUCGUUAUAGAUAAAGGAUACAACAUUCCACGGUUGGCGGAGCGCAUGGGUUGCAAAAGGAGAUUGGAGAAAGAUAUUAUGGUGGAUGAUUUGGAAACAAAGCAGGCUUUUACUUUCAUCAAGAAAAACAUGCAUAGUUCUCGAGCUCAGCAAAUGAUGGCUGCAUUGAGGGUUUCCAAAACUGAAGAAGCUUCCGUGAAUAGAAAGAAGAGUAGAACAUCUUUAAAUAAAGAUGACAUUGUUGAACCGUCUCACCGCGAUUCAACCAAUAGACUACGACAACGCCGCCCUUUGGUUACAGGGAAUUACAGGUAAAGUUGAAAAUAUUUAAACAGAUGAAUAUUUCCAUAUCAUCUGCUUUUUAUAUUUAAUUUCAAUAGGUGAUCUUCAUUUGAAUAAGGUUAUUCGUUAGUGUCUAAAAUAUCUACUAUCUUAGAUUCUUAGUGGAAUAUUAGAUUGCUAAUUAAAUUCCUCUUAUAGGCAAAAUUAAUGUUAGGCCACCCUUGUAAGUAUUGAAGGAUUUCCGGUGUUACUUGCAGUACACAAAUUCUUGUUUUUUUUUUCUAGCCAUUUAUGUUCUUUGUUGAACACAAGUAGAAAGAAGAUUUCUUAUUAAUUUCUAAUUUUUUAAAUAUGACUUGUUGUUUUGACAAUAAGAAAAGCUUUUUCUUGUUCUAUAAAUAAUUCUAUUCACCGAGAUAUAAUAACUUUUCAAUUCUUAAUUGAAUGAAUAUUUAUACCCAAUGUUUCAAUGAAUCAAGUAAACACUUAUUUAUCUGGCUUUAUAGAUUCAGUGCAUUUCCACCCUAGAACUAACACAAAUCUGGUGCUUUUAUAAUUUAAAAGUUGGCUAAGUACACUCGAAAAUGAUGUAUCUCAUGUCAAAAUGCAGCCUAUAUUAAUUUCAUGCAAGAUAUUAAUAAAGCAAACUCAGCAUAUCAUGAUAUUUUAGAUUUUGAUUUUUCUUUCUUGCUGUCUUUUAAUUUUCCUUAACUUAUAUUUUGAAAUAUUUUAUUAUAAAUAAAAAUAAAAUGUAAGAUUUUUUUUUUUAGUUUCUUUCUUUAGCAGUCAAAAUUAUUUUUAAAAUUCUCAAAAUUCUUAUUUCAUCCAAUUUUAAUUUUAUAAAAUAUUUUAAAAACUUCUCAAAUUUUCAAUACUUUACAUAUUUAUUUCAAAACAAAAAAAAUAUAAUCAACUUUGUUUGAUUUGAUGUUUUUAUAAGGAAAUGAGUAAUUGAUAGAAAUUAGAUCGAUUGAAUAAUAUAGGGUUAAAUACAGUUACCACCCCAGAAGUAUGGGCCUUGUAACAGUUAUCCCCUAGUGUAUUGAAUGUACCAUUUACCCCCUUAGAGCAUCUCCAACCUUGUUCAUUUUGAAGCGGUAAAAGCUAAAUUUUACUAAUUUUAGCAUUUUCAAUCAAAAAAUCAUGCUCCAAAGGAAGAGGUAUAAUUUACCUCAUUAGCUAAAACCAAAAUUCCAAAUGCUAAAUAUACCACUUACUAUUCACAAGAGCUAUAUAAAAGUAUAUUAAAAUAAUAUACUCAACCCCACACUCCAUCUCCCAAAAGUGAUAAAAUUAAAAUUGAUUACCCACUACGUCACUUUUUCAAAUAGCAAAUGUAAUAAAAAUAUUAUAAAAUGUUAAAUUAUAGAUGGUAUGGUUAGAGAAUGCACAAAAAAUUAACUUGUUAAAACACUAUUUAAAUGCUAAAAUAAGUAUAGCAUGCCAAUUUUUACCUCCCAUGAUUGGAGAUGCCCUUAGGAGUUUAGUUAAAUGUUAAAAUUAACAUCGUUACAUUAAUAAGUGAAAUAACUAAAUAGCCUUGCAAUGAAGCAUACUAAUAAGUGAAAUAACUAAUUAGCCUUGCAAUGAAGCAUACAAUGUUAAAACAAACUUUUACGAUUUUGCAACAAUUUUUUUUAUUCUUACUUCCAAAAUUUCAAUUUCCUAAUUUUUACGAUAAUUUUGGAUUGAAAUUGGAAUUAUGUAAAUGAAAUUGAAAUUUCCGAUUUCCGAUCCGAUUUAAUUUCCAAAAUUAACUCCAAAAAAUUCCGAUUUUCUUCCAAAAAAUACACCUAUAAAUAAUAUAUAUUAUAUAAUACUUAUUUUAAGUUUUUUUUUUUUAAUUUAUUUUCUGAAACAAUAAUUUGAUUUAUGUUUUGUUUUAGGAUUUUGACAUAUUUAUUGUUGUUAGAAGUUUUAUUAGAUAUUAUGACUUGGUUUAUUUUUAUUAUUUUUUGAACUGGAAUUUAGUAGUUAUUAGUUUUACUUUUAUCGACGUUGAUGUUCUUAUUUUUGGAAAAUUAUGAAAUUUUCAGAAAAUUUCCUCUAAGUUUUGAAAUUUUAAAACUUAUUUGAUCUUUUAUUUAUUUUUUUUCAAAAUUCUGAAAUUUCCGGGGCAAUUGGAACUGGAAUGAUUUUUUAUAGUCCGAAAGGUUAGGAAUUAGGAUUGGAAUUGAUUUUGUACUUCCGAUUGUUUUUGGAAGUUUUCCGAAAAUGAUAAAUUUCAAUCCGAUCCAUCCAGCUUUCAACCAUAAUUGAAACCUUCUCCAAAAAAAAAAAGGAAAAGAAAAAAAAGAAAGAAAAAUGGUUAUGUACGUAAGGGGUACUAUUGGUAUAAAAACUCCACCCGCUACUUUCCCAGCAAAAAUUAAUACCACGUCAACAAAAUCAGCUCAACAACCGUUAAGGUUACGAACAUAAGGGGAAACUGAUACAUUCAAUACAUUAGUGGGUAACUGUUAGAAGGCUCAUACUUUAGGGGUGGUAACUGUAUUUAAGCCAAUAAUAUAAUUAGGAUUUUCAAGUUUUUUUCUUUUUAAAGUGUAAAACAAUCUCCAAUUUUGAUUUCAAAAAUUUCAAAAUCUGAAUAUCAAUUCCAAUUCCAAAAAUAUUUUUCAAAAAUUAUUUCAACUUUUUUAUGUUUCAAUUUGUUUUGGAAAAAAGGCAAGUAAAUACAUAAUAAUUUAAUUUUUUUCGAUGCGAUUAGUUUAUUAUCUUUCAAAAUUAAAGGACAAAAUAACUGUUAAGUGUAUAUUUAUACACUUAAUUGUACCUUUUAAUUGGAGCUUUUGAUGUGUUUUUACGAUAAUUGGUGCUUAAUUUGGUUAUUAUUUGUAUUUUAGGGACAAAUUGAAGAAUUGGAAAAGUAUGGGGUCAAAACUGCAAUUUUGGAGAAAAUAUGGGCCAAAAGUGAAAAAAUCAAAAUUCUGAAGAUUUAAAGCUCGGACCCCCGUCCCAGUUUUAGUGCAAAUCGUGGGACCCCCGUCCGAGACUCCGAAAUUGCGCAGAAAAGGGAUUUUAAUUGCACAAGGAAACUGCCUUCUUCCCCAAGUUCUUCACCCUAUAUAAGACCAAGUCAGACACACAAUUAGGCAUCAUCUUUUUAUCAUCUAUCUUUUAUCUUUCAUCUUUCUACACACGAGCAAGAGAACGAAGACGAAGACUUGACGAAUCUUCAUCCGAGUUUUCCUUUUACUUUUAUUCUUCGAUUUUUAUGAACUUUCAUAUUUUUAUUAUGCUUGUCGUUACGAACAUGAGUAGCUAAGUUUUUAUUCUAGGAUUUUAUUGGAACCCUAUGUGGUGAUUCGAACCUAUUUUUCUACUUUUAUGCAAGUUUAAUUCUUCGAUUAUUUCUUCGAUCUUGAUCGUAUUUAGUGCAUGAGCGUAGCUAACUUAUGUUGCUAUUUGUUAUUGUUAGAAUUGAUUGACAGAUCGUUUUAAUAAUUAGAACAGGGAUAGAAGAGCCUUCGAGUAGUUUUUCACCGAAUGCGUGUGUUGAUUGCAUGUAUUAUCGUAGACAUACAGAUAAUACCUUAGGUAGCCGUUUACGAGACUUGUUAUUUAAUGCUUUAUUUAUAUUAGGUUUGCAUAGACAUAUAGUGAAUCUUUUAUGAAUAAUAGGUUUAUAGCGCAGCGACAGCUGGUUAUGAAUAAUUUCGUGUCUUGGGUUAAUAAUCGGGAAUCGUAACUUGCAUAAUAGGAGAUUAAUUGGGUGAAGAAUUAUCGCAUAGGGGGAAGAUAAAAUCCUAGAUCCGUUUAUUAUUGAUAUUUUCUCGUAAUUACUUGCUUUCUUAAUUAUUUUAAUUUAUUUAGUUAAUUAAAUUGACAACCUUGCGUAGGCUGGAUAAAAAUAACAAUUGUUAGAAUUUGGUACUUAGGAUUAAAUAAUUUGCGUAUUCCCUGUGGGAUCGACAUCCGACUCUCACGAGUCUACUUUACUACUUGUUUGCGAUACGUGCACUUGCGUGUGGGUAUUUAGCACCCAACAAGUUUUUGGCGCCGUUGCCGGGGAAUACGGCUAAAUUAUUUAUUUAUCCUAAUAUUAAAUUUGAACAAUUUUUCUUACUUCAGCCAAUUUUUUUUUUGUUUUAUUUAAUUAUUUUUUUUUUAUUUUUUUUAGGUACUUUUUAUGCGAAGAGGACACGACACGAGCUUGCUACCUCUUGACCCCGAAAUUGAGCGAACGUUUAGGCAAGCCAGGAGAAAUCAACGGUUAGCCCAAAACAAUCCGGCAACGAUGGAGGACGAGGAUAAUCGUGGAGAAGGUGACCAAAGGCGCCCACCGAAUGUGGCAAGAGAAAUCGUCAACGAGCAAGAGCAACGCCAGCUGAUUAAUCCACCACCUCGUCAACGAGCACUGCAUGAGUACACCGUUCCAACGCUUAAUGGGUUUCAAUCGAGCAUCCAGCAGCCCCCCAUUGAAGCCAACAAUUUCGAGAUUCGAGCGGGACUCCUCACGAUGCUUCAAAACAAUGGUUUAUUCAGCGGAUUGGCUCAUGAAGAUCCACAUCUCCACUUGGUCAAUUUUCUCGAGACGUGUGAUUCGCACAAAAUGAACGGAGUAUCACCCGAAGCACUGCAACUCCGCCUGUUCAAGCAUUCCUUACAAGGCGCAGCCCGAGAAUGGUUACAAACUCGCGCACCGCAUUCCAUCUCGUCUUGGGCCCAGCUAGCACAACUUUUCAUGAACACAUACAACUCCCCAACAAAAACUGAGAGAAUCCGGAGAGAAAUUCAAAAUUUCAUACAAGAAGCCGGUGAAGCACUAUUCGAGACGUGGGAGCGGUUCAAACAGCUAGUAAGGAGGUGCCCGAAUCACGGACUUCAAGAGUGGCGCCAACUGCAAAUAUUUUACGAUGGGCUACAAGACAACUCGAGAACCGUGCUCGACUCCGCAGCUGGAGGAAUGUUCAUGAGUUUGACUUACGAUGAAGCAUACGAGCUUUUGGAGCGAAUCGCUAGAAAUAAAUACAUGCGGGCAUCGGACCGGUCGAACAGCGGAGCAGUCAAGACAGGAGGAAUUUUGGAGUUAGACGGGGUCACUGCAAUCACGGCCCAGUUAGAAAAACUAUCGAAGCAAGUAGCGGCUUUGCAGACUCAGCAAGUCCACACAGUCCAAGUUCCCGACCAACGCAUAGAAGAAACGGAGUCUCUGAAUUAUGUGCAUGACACCAACCGUCAACAGAGGAACCCGUACUCCAACACGUACAACCCCGGAUGGAAGGAUCACCCUAACUUUGGGUGGGGAGGAAAUCAGCAAGGACCAAGGCAAACACCACCUCAAGGUCAACCGCCUAAUUAUUCACGACCAGCGCCCGGCUUCCAAAAUCCGCCUCAAGCUCAACCUCAAGGCGGAGAUCUCGCAAACAUCUUGGCGCAGUUCAUGACAACCACCCAAGCCUCCAUCCGAAACUUGGAAACACAGAUGGGUCAACUUGCAACCCAACUAACAGCGAGGCCAUCGGGAGCACUGCCAUCAAACACGGAAGAUCCUCGGAAGAACAACAUCGAGCAGUGCAACGCUGUAAGUUUAAGGAACGGGAGACAAUUGGAGGAGGCCCCACGAAAGGAGAAGCAAAACACAGUAAUUGAGGAGCCGAAUGUGAUUUGGAAAAAGGAAGCAACUCGUAAAGAACCACCAUCACCCACAGUGAACUCGCGAGUCCCUCAAGUCCCAUAUCCUCAAAAGCUUAAAAAGAAGAAGCUCGAUGCCGAACACCAAGGAUUCUUGGACAAGCUGAAGGAAAUCCACAUCAACAUUCCGUUUAUCGAAGCCAUUCAAAAGAUUCCAAAGUGGGUGAAAUUCCUCAAGGAGCUCGUGACAAAGAGGAAUAAAUUGCAAGGGAACGAGAUCAUCCAACUCACGGAGCAAUGCAGUGAAAUUCUUGUACGGCCUCUUCCACAAAAACUUGGCGAUCCAGGUAAGUUCACUAUCCCUUGCACUAUUGGAGGUAGAAAUUUUAGGUCACUCAUUGAUUUAGGUGCUAGCAUUAAUCUUAUGCCUUAUUCCAUUUACAAAAAUCUUGGGUUAGGUGAGAUUGAACCAACGGCUAUAACUCUUCAAUUAGCCGAUAGGUCUUUAGUUUACCCAAAAGGUAUUUUAGAGAAUGUGCUAGUAAAAGUGAACAAAUUUAUCUUCCCUGUUGAUUUCGUUAUACUUGAUAUAGAUGAAGAUAGGGAAAUACCUCUUAUUUUAGGAAGACCGUUUUUAGCCACAUCGAAAACUCUAAUUGAUUGUGCUAGUGGUGAUCUUUCAAUGACAGUGCAUGAUCAAACGGUUAAAUUUAACGUUUUUAGCGCUAAUAAAAAUUCAUGUGAUGACAAUGAUUGUUAUGCUAUUGAUCUUGUGGAUUUUACAAAUCAUGAAGAUUUUGACGUUUUGAUCUUAGACCAUGGGAAAGGAUCUUUGAGUGCAGGAGAUGGUGGCGGAAAAGAUAGUCGGACGGAGCAAGUUUAUUGUGCGAGCUCAAUUUCAACUCCGCCGAGAGACAGUCAAAAGAGUUGGGGUGAUAACAAUGAUGAACGUGCAAGGUGGAUGUGGCCACCUAAAGAACCAAACGAGCAUUAUUGGGGAGAGGAAUUCAAUCGCCAAGUGACUUCGGUCACGUUAGCUUGAACAAAGAAGCAAACAAAGUCCGGCUGAAGACUUUAAACUUAGCGCUUCUUGGGAGGCAACCCAAGCUUUAUUGUUUUUCGUAGUUUUCUUUAAUUUUUCGUUUCGUUUUAUAAAUCAUAAGCAUGCAUUCUAAUUUAUUUAUUUGAAUUUUAACUUUUCAGGGUCGAAAACAUGAUCGGGGAAUCCAGACGACCGUCCGCAAAAAAAAAAAAAAAAAAAAAAAAAAAAAAAAAAAAAAUUUUGCAGCACUGCAUUUGAGACGGCCGUCCCAAAAUAUGCCUAUUUUGUGGGACGGCCGUCCCACAACCAGGAAGGAAAAAAAAAAAUUCGGACGGCCGUCCGAAAAUCAGCACAAAAACCGGGACGGCCGUCCGACGAUUUUUAGGGCGUUUUAACUUUCAAAAAUUAGAUUCUUUUCCCCAUUAUUUCCUAAACCUUCCUCUUUCCUUCUAUCAAACUCCCACACACAAAUCGAGGCUAGAGAAUCGAACCAAAUUCUCCAAAAUCUACUCAUUCAAGGCACGCCCACAAGGUGUUCGACAAAUUGCUCCAACCAAGUUUGGGGGUCGAUUCUCGUCUAAUUUUUACCGGCACCCAAUCUUGAGCCCGUACCCGAGCUUUCCGAUGAGGACGAGCGUGAGAGAGUGAGGGAGGAGCACCCCGAUCACACCGACUCCGAAUAAAUCAGGUGUUUUCUAUCCUUAAAACUUUGUGCUAAUUUCGUUGAGGGCAACGGAAAUUUUAAGUUUGGGGGUGAGAAACAUGUUUUUGUGCUUAUUUGUUUUAGUUUGCAUGCAUUAGGUCUUAUUCGUUUUUAUUGUUUUUCUCGUUUUUUUUCGGAAUAAAAAAAUAAAAAAAAAUAAAAAAAAAAAAAAAAAAAAUUGCUUGAGUCGAAUGCAUCGAUGAUUUAUGAUGAUGGGAGAUGGUCAAUGUUUGAUGAUGAAAUUGCUUGCUUUAUGUGAUAAGGAAUGAGUAUUUGUUUAGCUUUCGAUUCAACGGAACGUAGAAGUGAAUUAUUGCUAGUAAUCACACCUUAUGCAUUGCUUUGGUUGAAUGUUUUGCAUUUUAAAUUUGGAAUUUAUUUGUGCUCAAUCAUGCUUUGUUCGGUUUUAAAUCCCACCUUAAGACAUUUAUGAUACGAAGUGUUGGGUAGUAAGCGAUUUGCGAUGUGAUUUGGGCCAUCUUUGAACCGUUUGAGCCUUUCAAGCCUACCUUUAAAUUUUUAUCCUUAGAACCUUGAUUUGAGCCUCGGUNNNNNNNNNNNNNNNNNNNNNNNNNNNNNNNNNNNNNNNNNNNNNNNNNNNNNNNNNNNNNNNNNNNNNNNNNNNNNNNNNNNNNNNNNNNNNNNNNNNNNNNNNNNNNNNNNNNNNNNNNNNNNNAAAAUAAAAUAAAAUUUGUUUUUUUUGGGCAUCUUUAAAUCUUCAUAUAUAUCUAUAUAUCUAAAUUCUUCGAUUAAAAAAAAAAAAAAAAAAAAAAAAAAAAAAAAAAAAAAAAAGAAGAAGAAGAAUAGAUUAGAAGGGAGAAAUAAGGACUAGUUGUUGAAUUGUGUUGAAAACUCGAUCCAUUGCCUCAAGGGCAAAAGUGUUGACGUGUGAAUUUUGGAGAAUCGAGUUUAUUAAAGUCCCUAGAGGUGAAUUUAUUGUUUCAAACGCCUAGCUUUCAAAUUUUGGCGUAAUCACCUCAAUUCAAGAAAAUUAGCCACACAUUCCCAUAUUACCUACCUCGGACCAAAGAGCCUAACAAUUGAAAGCCACAAAGCCCCAAUGAUCCCAAUAGCUUAUUGUUCAAUAUUAGUUGAGUAAAAUAAUUUGGUGAGUAUUUGGAGUCAAAUAUAUGUAUGUAAGUAUAAAUUCUGUCUAUCUUUAACUUGCAAAUAUUGGAUACUUGAAGCAAUUGUAUGAUUUGUGAUUGUUGGUAAUGGUGAGGGACUAAGUACCGUUGAAUGUUAAACUUGCGAAUACCUAGGAAUUAUCAUCAUAAUUGCAAGUUCUGAAAACGCUAAGUUGACCCAUCGAUCUAUGUAAUGAGAUGUAUGGUUUUGUUUUGUGCUAUUAAUUUGAUGUUACUUGAGGACAAGCAAAAGUUCAAGUUUGGGGGUGUGUUAAGUGUAUAUUUAUACACUUAAUUGUACCUUUUAAUUGGAGCUUUUGAUGUGUUUUUACGAUAAUUGGUGCUUAAUUUGGUUAUUAUUUGUAUUUUAGGGACAAAUUGAAGAAUUGGAAAAGUAUGGGGUCAAAACUGCAAUUUUGGAGAAAAUAUGGGCCAAAAGUGAAAAAAUCAAAAUUCUGAAGAAUUAAAGCUCGGACCCCCGUCCCAGUUUUAGUGCAAAUCGUGGGACCCCCGUCCGAGACUCCGAAAUUGCGCAGAAAAGGGAUUUUAAUUGCACAAGGAAACUGCCUUCUUCCCCAAGUUCUUCACCCUAUAUAAGACCAAGUCAGACACACAAUUAGGCAUCAUCUUUUUAUCAUCUAUCUUUUAUCUUUCAUCUUUCUACACGCGAGCAAGAGAACGAAGACGAAGACUUGACGAAUCUUCAUCCGAGUUUUCCUUUUACUUUUAUUCUUCGAUUUUUAUGAACUUUCAUAUUUUUAUUAUGCUUGUCGUUACGAACAUGAGUAGCUAAGUUUUUAUUCUAGGAUUUUAUUGGAACCCUAUGUGGUGAUUCGAACCUAUUUUUCUACUUUUAUGCAAGUUUAAUUCUUCGAUUAUUUCUUCGAUCUUGAUCGUAUUUAGUGCAUGAGCGUAGCUAACUUAUGUUGCUAUUUGUUAUUGUUAGAAUUGAUUGACAGAUCGUUUUAAUAAUUAGAACAGGGAUAGAAGAGCCUUCGAGUAGUUUUUCACCGAAUGCGUGUGUUGAUUGCAUGUAUUAUCGUAGACAUACAGAUAAUACCUUAGGUAGCCGUUGUCGAGACUUGUUAUUUAAUGCUUUAUUUAUACUAGGUUUGCAUAGACAUAUAGUGAAUCUUUUAUGAAUAAUAGGUUUAUAGCGCAGCGACAGCUGGUUAUGAAUAAUUUCGUGUCUUGGGUUAAUAAUCGGGAAUCGUAACUUGCAUAAUAGGAGAUUAAUUGGGUGAAGAAUUAUCGCAUAGGGGGAAGAUAAAAUCCUAGAUCCGUUUAUUAUUGAUUUUUUCUCGUGAUUACUUGCGUUCUUAAUUAGUUUAAUUUAUUUAGUUAAUUAAUUUGACAACCCUGCGUAGGCUGGAUAAAAAUCACAAUUGUUAGGAUUUGGUACUUAGGAUUAAAUAAUUUGCGUAUUCCCUGUGGGAUCGACAUCCGACUCUCACGAGUCUACUUUACUACUUGUUUGCGAUACGUACACUUGCGUGUUGGUAUUUAGCACCCAACAAGCAUCUAACUAAAAAACAUUAUUCAUAUGUAAAUUAUGUCUUGUAGCACUCUCUUGAAUCUAUCCAUUGCCAUGCUUCUUCACAUGUAAUUUCAGAAGUGUAGGACUCUCCUCAGUCUCUCCAUUGAUGCUUUUGAGUAGACAGUCUAACGUAAAAUAUCACAUUCCAUAAACCGCCCACCAGCUCACCAGAAAUAAGAAAAAUAACACUUGAAAGUCGUUUUUGAAUUAACUGAUCUUUAUUUUAAAUUAUGCGCCUUUCUUUUAGCCUAUGAUUUAUAUACCUGAAUUAAAUUAAAGUUAGUUAAAACUUAAAAAUAAUAAAAGUAAAUAAAUAGCAGGUACAACUAUAAAGUGUGGUUUUAAUCAUUGUGUCGGGACUUGGUCCUAUCUCGUUUGGAAGCGAACCGGUCGGAGUCUUGUACCGGUGGUUGUCUUUUCGUACAUGCUUGAAUAAAUCGCAUGAAAACAGACAGGACUUGUAUUCUCGGACCUCUUUUCAAACUUUAUUAUUUACGGUUCCAUUUAUUGAUGUGUUUUGCUUGGUAAGUUUAUCAAUGCAAAUUUUAAAUAAAUUAUAAUUUUCCAAACCACAUUAAUUUCGUAUUAUUUUUUAUAGAAUUUUGGCAUUAAAUGUGUUUUUAGCGAGGAAUAAAUAUUUUAUAACCCUCUAAUAUUAGAAUACAGGUCAAGGGUUCAAAUCCUGCCUCCUCCCCUACUUUCACAAUUUGUAACUGGAUUUGAACUUAAAAAAAGAAAAAACAAAAAAAGAUAUUAGACUUGUGUAAUACAGAUAUUCCCUCUAUAUUUAGAAUUAUUUAACGUUUUUAUUCAUUGGUGCGAACCUAUGUUAAAUGCCUCUUAACCCCCAUUGACCCUAUGUUAGAGGUGAAAAUCGAUAAUUUGACCCACUUUUGGGCAAUCCGCGCGUAUGAUUAUUUAGGGGUGUAAAUGAGCCGAGCUCGCCUUAUUUCACGAGCUCGAGCUCGACGAACCUAUGAUUUUCAGCUCGAGCUCGAGCUCGUUGUGUUUCUAAGGAGCUCGAGCUCGGCGCAACCAAAAUUUCAUUCAAUUAAAAAAGUAAUAUUAUUCUUUUUUAUUUAUUAUUAAUAAUACCCAUUAUUAUAUAUUAUUAAUAUGUAUUAAAAAUAUAAAAAAGGUAAAGCUCGCGAGCCGGCUCGCGAGCUGUCGAACAACUGAAAUGAAGCUCGAGUUCGGCUCGUCGAAAAGCUCGGGCUCGCUAGCUCAAGCUUGAGCUCGAUUUUUCGAGCUCAAGUACGAGCUUUUUUCGAGCAAGCUCCGGAAGCUUGCGAGCCGGCUCGACUCAUUUACACCCCUAGUUCUGACCGGCACCAAAUUACUACUUACUCGGGUCCUACGCGAUUCGUACAUGUGCUCGAUUUUGAGAGAUGUAAAAAAUUCAGUAUUUUAAAAUCUAUCGUGGCGACCGAUUAAUCGGUCUUCAAGGCGGAGGCGGUCCAAAAUCUUUACGAUUUUGGUGUAAAGGUUUCAAAAAUCAAUUUUUGUCUGUGAGGCGGUUUUAGGCGGUUCGAGACAAGUUGAGACGGUCAAGCCAUGAAAACGGGUCAAACUUUGGGUGUAAAAAUGGUCAAAAAUCGUUUUUCUUAAAUAAAAAAAAGUUAGAGUUUAAUAAAAAAUGAGUUUAUGCUUUGUUUUAUUUUGUUAAUCUUAAUUUUUAUUUUUAAUGGAUCUACUAUAUGCUUGCCAUAUUCAAGCAUAUAUUGGGAUGGACAAGAUUUUCUUUUUAUUUUAUUUUGUAAGGAUUUUAAUUAUAUUAUGAUCUUAUUGUUAUUAAAAUUUUAUUAUAUGAUUAUGAUAUAUAAAUGAUGGCAAUAGAAUCAUGUUUAAAGAUACUUUUAUAUAAGUUUUGAGUAUUAACAAAUAAUAUCUAGAAUUAUAUUAUGUUAAAUUUAAAAAAAUUGAUUUAUUUUCGAUUUAUUGUCGAUUAAUCAUAGCCGCACUGAUUAAUUGUGAGGCGAUGUCUAACCGACUCGGUCCGAUUCCUACCUUUUACAACCUUAAUAAAAUCUAUGUAAUGAUUAGGAAAAAAACAUAGACAAUAUCUUCAAGGGUGUUGAAAAGAAAAAUAGAAAAAAAAUAAAUCAUUUGUACCACUUACCAUUUCUAACAGACAGGUUAAAUAUAGUUUACACCGCUCUAUAGCAUAUAUUUGUAAUACUUACCCCAUUGUAAGUAUUAUUUGUAACACUUACUUUCCUCAAGCACACUUUAAGUUCUAUUUUAAAUUAUGGACACAAUAAGCAAAUCAAUGGGUACUUAUCAUAAAGAGGUCCAAACAAUAAACUAUUUUACAAAAAAGUCCACACAUGGUCUAGAGGUUUGUAAAAGACUAAAAUAGUCCCUUAUAUUUUAAUAUGCUCUAAUUUCAUCCUCUAAUUUCGAGGGUGUUUGCAAAUGCUUUUGCAACCAGCUUAUGAGCUUUUCUUGCCUCAUAAUCUAUUUUUUGGUGUUUGUGACACGAACCUCUACUUUUGCUUCUCUAAAUAUAAGCUAUUUUAAGCUAUAAUCUCAAAAGCAGGCUUGAUCCAACUUUUUCGGUUGAUGGCAUUUCUGUAAAUAAAAAUAAGUUGUUUUAAAUAUUUUAAUUCAUUUUUACCCUUUUAAUUAAUUUAAUUAAUCCCUACGUUUACCCAGCAUUACCCUGUAUUCACGUCAAAACCCUGUCACAUAAAACACCUCCACCUCCAUUAUGUUUCAGCAAGAAAUUCACCGUCACAAUCAUAAUAGAUGUGAACCUUCAUUUUUUUUCCGUGUUGUAGUUUAAGGAUUAAUAACAUUAAAUCUAUGUAUUUGUGAAUUACGCACUUGUGUUUUUCCUCAAAUAUAUGUAGCAAUUCGGGUUAUAUAAUUUUGGGCUUUCUGAUUUCUGUAAGAAUAUGGCCAAAAUCUUGUGUCACUAACUUUGUGUUUUGAAUGUAUAUUUGAUUUUGUUUUAAUUUGAAACAUUUGUCCUCAUGUAUUCUAACAUGGGUUUUGCAUAAAAAAAAAUUUCAUGUACUUACGCAAUAUGUUGCAAUCUUUGUGUUUAGCUAUGGGAGUCGGUAUGAAAGGGCUUUUAGGAAAAAAGAUAUAAUUUAUAUAUUUAUUUGUGUAUUUAUUAGGGUAUUUAGGACAAUUUAUAAAUAAUAAAUUGAAAUUUUAAGUUUGUUUGCAAACACUGCAACUUUUAAAUUAACUGCUUAAAGUUGAUUUUAUAGGUCUUUUGCAAACACCCACAACUUUUGCAAUAAGUAAUUUUUUAGAGCUUAACUCAUAAUUACCAACUUCUGAUUUUACAUAAGCAUUUGCAAACACCCCCUUAAUCUAACCUCUAUUUGACCCAAAAUUUCACAAAUUAUUCAAUUUUAACCAAAAAAAAAUUUUAUGGACAAUUUGGUCUGUCACCGCCGUUAACCGUCGGUCUCCGGCGUUGACUUUUUUUUUUCUUCCUGAUUUUUUCGCCGGUUUCCAACGUUGACUUUUUCGAUUUUUUUUUAACAUCUUUUUGUCCCCGUUUAAACAGCAAUAUUGUUGUCAUUGACAAUAAUAUUUACUAUAUUACUGUUAAACACAGUAAAAUUAACUAUACUACAGUUUAAAACAUAAUAUUGCUAUAUACAUUUCGAGCACAAUAAUAUUAAGACAACAAAAGUCAUUUUUUUUAUAAUAUAGUAAUAUCAAUAUGUUGACCGUUCAACAAAUGUUAACAUAAUAAAAGGCCAAAAGAAUCAAUUUCACUGUGAUUGACAGUAAUAUUACUAUAACAAUAGUAAUAUUACUGUCAACCACUGUAAUAUUAUUGUUUUACAGUAAUAUUAUAAAUACAAUAAUAGACAAUAAUAUUAUUACGUGACUCCGUGAAUAACUCAAACAAAACAAAAAAACCAAAAUAAAAUAAAAUAAUAUUGAUGUGGUUGACAGUAAUAUUAUUGUGUUUACAGUUAAUUUACUGUCAACAACAAUAAUAUAAUUACGUUUACUUGUCAACAAAUCAAACAAAAUUUAAAAAAUAAAAUAAUAAUAAUAUUGUCGUUGACUCUAACUGUAUUGUCAACGGCAGUACAAUUACGUUAAUGUAAUGUAAGUGACAAUAUAAUUACGUUAAUGUACUGUCAGUGACAGUAUAAUUACUUUAAUUUACUGUCAGUGACAGUAUAAUUACGUUAAUUUACAGUCAGUGACAGUAUAAUUAUCGUUAAUGACAACACAAUCGCGGUCAACGUUAAGCGACGGGCGUAAAAAAAAAUAUUUAUAAAAAAUCAACGUCGGAAUCUGGCGGCGAAAAAAACAGACUAGAAAAAAAAAAGUCAACGGCGGAAAUCUGGCGGCAGAAAAACAGACCAGAAAAAAAAUAAAAAAAAAAGUCAACGCCGGAGACCGGCGGCUAAAAACUAUUUUUUGAAAAAAAAGGUUUUUUAAGAAAAAGUCAAAAUUGGAUUUUUGUGCUCAAAAUUAAUUAAAUUGUGGUUACAAUAAAAAAAUAUGUGUAAAUGGUUGGGGGUAAUUUUGUCAUAUACAUGAAUUUUUCCUUUAUUUAUAAUAAAUAUUAAAUGGAUGAGCUUAUUGGCGAAAGAGAUAUAACCUCUAAAUCUAGAAUAAUAAAGAUGAUUGGUUAGGGACUUAUGCACAAAAACCGAUUAAAUUAUAAUACCUUAAUUAUUUUUCUUUUAUUGAAAGGAAUAGCUGAAAGAACAAUUAAAUUAGACAUCUAAAAAUACUUGUUGAAUAAUGCAACAUUUUAAAAUUCAAAGAUAUUAAAUAACAUCUAAUUGUUGUUGGACAAAUUAAUCAAAAUUGUCACAUAAGUUUUAAGAAAUAAAUACAUAACUAACAGUAAUCUUAAGUAUUUAAAUUUAUUCUAGUUCAUUAAUUACUUAAAAUAUAUUUCCAUUCAUUAUUAUAUAAUAUAUAUUACUUUUUAAUUAUUUUUCAAUAAUUUAAUUUUAGUUACUUUUCAAUUUUAUAUAAUGCAAUAAUUAUUUGAUUAUUAUAUUUAUUAUGUAAAUUUUAAAAUAUAAAAUAAUUGAUGUUAAGGGAAUAAGUUAUAUAAAUUAUAACUUAAUGAGGUAAAUGUUAUGUAAGCUAUACUUCAGGAAUGUUAAGUGUAUAUUUAACCCGAACAAAUAAACAAAAACAAUGGCAGGUCCCAUUGGCCAUCUAACUUGAACACAUUUCACAAAACCACCAUGAUGAUCCUAAAGUAUAGCUCACCGGAGUAGUAUAGAAAACGAGUUGGGAAAGCAAAGCGGAUCAGUAGCUUGACAACUCGAUGAUCCUGAGGUCCCUGCGAAAAGAGCACACGUGAACUAAGCCGGGGGUUGAUCCGGCGGAAACCCCUUCGACGCUCAAGUUAGAUGUACGGAUCGUAGAGAUAAUAGAGAGAAUAAAGCUCGUAGUCGAUUGUGAAUAAUUAGAACGUACCUUUACGAAUGAGUAAAAUAUCUAUUUAUAUAUCGUUGAAUGUGUUGGGCUUACUUUGUUGGGCCCAAGCCUUAUUUUGAAGGAGCUUGGGCUUUCGUGUAAUGGGCCCACAUGUAUGUGAUUGGGCUUUCGUGUAGUGGGCCUAAUUGGUAGAUAAAUUUGAGGGCCCAUUUAGGUAUAUCAUUAAGCCCCCCAACUCUCGAGUUGAGACGGGGACGUGUGUAAAGGGAUCCGGGUCGUGUCGAGAGUUAAUUGCGGCGUUGAUUGAAUUGUUUCCGUUGGCGGUGAAUUAAUUCCUUAAUUUAAAUAAGGGAUAUUUGUAUUUAUUUGGCAGCGAGGUAUAUAUUUAAGGGUUUUAAAUAUUAUACCAAGGCCAGAUAAAUAGACUCCUUUUGCGGUGGAGAGUAUUAAACUUCAACUCUUGCAAUAAAUAUGGGUAUAUUUUUUUAACUCUAGGUCUUCUGCUGUGCUAUUUUUCUCUUGAAAUUUUUUUUUGUGGUAGAGUAGAAUUUUUUGUUUCUUGAUUGUUUCUUCGGGGUAAAAAUAUUCGUAAUGUCGAACCCGGGUAAGUCGAAAUCUUUACGAAUUAAACUCCGAGAUCCCGUUGAAGGGGUCGAGAAAACCUUUGGUAAGGUGGGUAUAGAACGCGAGAAGGUAGUAGAAACAGAUGCGGAAGUCGGAUUCGCGUCGGCUAGUGGACGAAUCGAAGCGAAAAGGAGGGUGGUGGGUAGGGUUGGUGCGGCUGCCGGCUCGAGCUGCGGAGCCAACCCUCCUCAUCUGUGUGGGGGUUUUCGUUCUGAGCUUGGUGGUGAGCCGAGCCGAGCCGCUGAUGUGGAGAUUGGCCCAACUUCCGAGGAGAGGAGAGAGAACAGAGCUGCUGAGGUGGGGGCGCGUUUGGCACGCCGUUCGAUGGUCGCACGCGCGCGUCGAUGGAGGAGAGAGAAGGGGCGCGCGCACGUCGGUUGGAGGGUUAGGUGGACGCGCGCGCGCCAUUGGUCUACGUGUUGGUGUUGAUGCGCGCGUGGAGGGGCGGAGUGUGCAGCGACGCGCGCGCGCGUCAGGUGGGCCGAGUGAAGCGGACGCGCGUGCGGGGGCGAGUGGGGAGGGGCCACGUGUCUCCGUGGCAGGUGAUAACGCGCGCGCGCGUGAAUCAAGCCCUCUUGGGGUCACGCGCGCGCGUGCGGGCGCGUUGGAGGUCCGUUUUCGACCAGAUUCGAGCGAAAUCGAUGAGCGAAUCGUCAAGGGUGUUGAUGCACGUGGUUUUUUAAAUGGGGGUAGUUUUGAAAGGCGAGAAAUCAUUGAAUCUUGGAGUGACGAUGUUGAAGCGAGUAUUCACGUUAGUGAGCAAGUAGAUGGAGUUGUGGCUAGUGGGCAUUAUUCUCGACGCCAAAUCGUGGAUUUUGGGAGCGAUAGUGAUGAUUCUGAUCAAGCCCCUUUGGCGAGUGAUCAUACGGUGCCAAGUAGUGAAGUUGAGCUGACGGAUGAAGAGGAGGAGGAAGAUGAUAUUCCACCGGGUGAUGUUGAGGUUGAUAGGAGGAGGCAAAAGAAAAAGAAGCCCAUUAAUUUGGACUUAGUUAAUUUUGAUAGUGCAUUGACGGAAGAGCAAUUGUGAUUGAUUCGUCAUUUAUCUGGAGCGCCAAGCAAUGUUGAGUUGUUGCUGCCUCAGAAAGGGGACCGUUUGUAUUCGCCACCCGAUGGGUUUCAUACGGUGUUUUUGGCGUACUUGAUGGUACCUCUCAGAUUACACCGCAUCCGACGUUGUUGAAGGUUUGUGAGGAAUUCAAGAUAGGGUACAAUCAGUUAACUCCGACUGCAAUUCUUAUGUUCGAAGCGUUUCACCAUAGGGUAUCUCUAGUGGGUUUGCCUGUGACCGUGAGUUUGUUCAAGGCGUUAUUUACGUUACAUCGACCCAAUAAGACGCCUUUCUUUUGUUUUCAUCCUCGCGUUCCUUACCAAUUCGUGAAGAGUGUGAAGUUAUCUUUGGGGAAAUGGAAGACCCAUUUUUUUUAUGUGAGGGCUCCCACUUUUGACGUUCCCGUAGUUUGGAAUCCUACGUGCGAGAGUUUCAUGAUAACUGCAAAUAUGGCGAAAAGGAUUGAAGAGUCGGGAUUGUGUGAUGUGGAAUUUGAUCCGAGGGUUUUGAUACCAAAGGCGAAGGGUCAGCACCGUAUAUCCUUUUGUUGCCUUGACUUGUGUGUGUAUUUUUUUUUUUUUUUUUUUUUUUUGUUGUAGUUCUUUGGUAGUGUGUACCUUAUGUUUCUUAUGUGUUUGUUAUCUUUUGUAGAUGGGGGUAUCACCUUUGCGGCACUUCGAGCUAAAGCGAAUGGGACGUCGAAGAAGGCAUCGAGGAAGGUACCCUCUACGUUGGGAGGUCCUUCAAGUGGUUUGCUGCGUGAGGAGGUCCAUGUAGAGACUCCUCGAGUAGUCGCAGAUGACCAUAGCAGUGCUGGUGAAGUGGAGGGGAGUCCACCGAUGAGGGAUCGUGGCAAGGGAAAGAGGGUGGAUACCGAGUAUGUGGCUGUGCCUAAGCGUCCCCGGGUAGACCCAGAGGAGACCUAUGCUUUCCAUGGUGGGGAAGGGAAAUAAUUGUUUACAUAUGGCGUGAAUCGUGACGGUAAGGAGUCGUACUGGGAUGUGUCGGACUAUGAUCUGCCGAUGUUGAGUACCGAGGGUUUUGUUCGGGAGUAUGACCGUGCUCGGAUGUCCGGUAAGGGUCCUUCUCACAUGCUGGAGUUAGCUGGUGGGGACAUCUUUCGGGUGAGUACUUGUUUAUUUAAAACAAGGUUUUAUGUUUUAUUCCCUCUUGACUUGCGAAAAAUAUUGUUAUUAUUUUUAUUUUUUAUAUAGUUGGUAGCGACUUGGAGAUAUCUCAUGGAGUAUGGUAGGAAUGUGGAAGCUAGGAAGGAAGAGGAGCGGGCUCGAAGUCAGGCACGUGAGGACGAACUUCUAAGCCAGUUGGAAGUAGCGCGGUCCGAACUUGCUCAACGCUCGGAAGAGCUUGUUCGGAUGACAGAGGAGCUUGUUCAGAAGACAGAGGAGCUCGAGGUUAUCCGAGGUGAUGCGAAGGCGUAUAAGGAUGAUGUUCACAAGUUGAACGAAUGCUACGACCAGCUCAAGGAGAAAUACGAAGUCGAGAAGGCGACGGGGAAGAGGUUCCUCACGACAUUAGGUGGUGCGGUUUACAAGGAGUCCAUUGUGGAGGAGACCAAGGCUAAUUUUCGAGGUAGUGAUGAGUGUGCUGCUAUGAUUGAGGAGCAUGCAUUGGCUGUGGUUUAUAAGCCAUUAGUGCGUGCUUGUCGCAAAUAUCUGCGCGAUGCGGGUGGGAUCAGCGAGGAAGUGAUUCGUGGGAUGGAAGCUGGCAUAUCCGAUGAAGAGGAGGAUGAGAUAGAUGUCAAUGGGACGGACACAGAGCUUGUGAAUGACAUGGUUGCGGAUGAUUCCACCGUGGGUGCGUCUUCCGCUCGUGGUAGGGGAGUUUAGACUUAUUUGUUAGGAUAGUUAUCUUUCCCCUUUUAUUUUUAUUAUUAUUAUUAUUAUUUUUAUUUUUUAUUUUUUUUGCUGAUGUAGAUGGGUAUGUCCACUACUAUUCCGUUUGAAUUUCUUCCUCGUUUGACUUUGAAGUUUAAUAUUUCGAUUUAUUUAUUUUGACAUUGUCAAGGAUUAAUGUGUUGCUUCUAUGUAUUUACAUUAGCAUUAUACGCGAUGUACUUGAGGAGGGGAUCAGUCUCCCAAGGUUUUUGUUAAGGGUCAUGCCCUUUGUUUGGACCACUUGGGUCUAUAAUAUUUUUGUCCGUGGCCACGUUUUAAAAGUAGCACCUCGUGAAACAGCUAAAGGGACUUAGAUAAUCCAGCUGGCCAGGCUAUAUGGAUUAUGUAAAUCUCUCUAAGUGUUUGUAGGGUGGUAUUGAAUUAGACUCAUGAGAAGAGGUAGUUUGUAUCGAUGUAAAGGCAUAGAGAGUAAAACGAAAAUUGUGAUUUAUUCGAUGAUAGCAAAUGAGAAUUGUUACAGGCCCAUGUGAGGCGAAGGUAAACAACUACUACUGAAGCAAAUAAAUGGCUUAAUUCCACUUUGCACCCUUGAAAUAUACCAUUUUGGCACUUUGCACCCUCGAAAAAUAAUAAUAGCAUUUUGCACCCUCAAAACAUAAUAAAUCAUUCACAAUGCACCCUCAAUUGAAUAAUAAAGGCAAUUUUAUUUUUCAUUGGUGUUUUUCUUUUUGGGGUACAAAAUAAAAAAAAAAUUGUUGUUUUCUUGAACCUCAAACCUAAUUUCGAGCGGACAAAGUGCGAAAAAAAAAAAUUACACCGGAUUAUUUAAAAAAAAAACUACAUUAUCUUACAAAAGAAAAAUAAAAAAAAUAAUCUUUUAUCACUAAAUUAUUCGAUUGUGGAUCUUUUAUGUCACUGUUUGUAAAAUAUUAGGUGAAAAUAUUUGGAAGGAAAAAUAAUUUUCAGAUAACUUGAUAACGUAAUAGCUGAAUGAUUUUUUUCGUAAAAUAUUUUAUUUUGAUAAAACAAUAUAAUUUUUAAAUAUGUUGAUGGAAUGUAUUUUUAUUUUUGAACUUUAUAGUUUCAAAAUGAUUGAUGAAUAAAAAAAAUAUUUGACAUUUGGCAUCCUAAAAAAAUAUCACUACAAAUAUUAAAUUUAUAGUUUUUAGCUUUAAAAAAUCAUUUGGGGUGCAUUAUGCAUGAUUUAUUGUAUUUCGAGGGUGCAAAGUGCUAUUAAUUUAUUUUGAGGGUGUAAAGUGCCAAAAUGGUAUAUUUCAAGGGUGCAAAGUGGAAUUAAGCCCAAAUAAAUUGACUUGAUAACAAAAAAUUUCUAAGUGAUUGUACUAUACUUGUUCUUCUUCCACGUAUUCUUUGUACUCGUUCGUUUCGCUGUGCUGAUGGUAGGCUGUCUUCUUUUGGUGUCUCUAUGCCUGUCAAGUAUAAUUGAGAAAAAGAGAAUUUGUUUAACUACUUGUAUUGAGGAUUUAGUAAUUGAAGCUAUGGUGAUGUGUAUUGCUCUUUCGCGUACCCUACUACGGGGGUUGAUAUUUCUUUCUCGCACUCCAAGAUAUGAAAUGAAUUCGUGAGUUGCUGCGAGUUGCUAUGCGAUCAUGCCUGCUAGUGGGAUUAUUUUGUUGCGUUAGUAAUCGUAAAGACGAUUAUCUGUGUGUUGAAUUCGAGUAGAAGUAUAGUUACCCUUGGCGAUGUGGUAUGGAGUGUCUUCGAUCAAGCAGCGCAUUGAUUGAUUCAUAUACAUCCUCACGUAGUAGGUUCUCGACCUGUAAGGAGACGAUGGGAUGUGAUUAUAAAUUUCUGAUGUAAGUAAAAAUUACUAGCCCCCCAACUUAGGUGGGACGUUAACGCACCUUGUUAUGUGGUGUCAAAUUUCCAACCAUGUAGAAGCAGCUUUACAAGACGAGUGACGUGGAAGGUCGUGGAGCCUGCAUGGGUGACAAUUCGUAAGUAACUUUCCUGUAUAAGAAAUAUGGGUGAUGAUCUCAACUGAUUCUAAAGUAAGGUAAAUGUAUACCUUAGGCGUAGAACCGUUUGAUGUUCCCUAUAUUCCAUGUUCUGGGUAUAGGGUGUCCGUCAAUGUUCUCGAGGCGAUAUGCUCCAGUGUUGACCACCUUUGUUAUUUUAUACGGUCCUUCCCACUUUGGGUCGAGCUUACCGAUGAGGUGAGAGUCUUCAGCUUUUCGGAGGACUAAAUCUCCAACUUGAAAGGAGCGAGGGCGGACCUUUGAGUUAUAUGCCUUGGCCAUGCGUGAUUUAUACAUCUGUUGUCGGAUGUAUGCAAUCUCACGUAACUCAUCUACGAGGUCUAGGCUUCCCCGCAUAGCCUCUUCAUUAGCUGCUGGUUCAUAGUUGGUGAUUCGCCAAGAUGGUUCACCUAUUUCCACGGGUGCGAUAGCCUCCGUGUCGAAAGCUAGAUUGAAAGGCGACUCCCCAGUUGCUGCGCGUGGGGUUGUGCGAUAAGCCCAUAGGGCGUUAGGCAAUUCCUCCACCCAUUUUCCUUUGGCACUUCCUAGCCUUGUCUUAAGGUGUUGGAGGAUGGUGCGAUUUGUAACCUCCGUCUGGCCGUUAGCUUGUGGAUUUGCUACCGAUGUGAAGAACUGUUUGAUAUCCAAGCCGAGGCACCAAUUUUUUACUUUGUCACCGCAAAAUUGGGUUCCAUUAUCCGAGAUGAUGGAACGUGGGAUUCCGAAGCGGCACACGAUAUUUUUCCAUAGAAAUUGGAUGACUUCUUCUUCUCGGAUGCGUGCUAAGGGUUCAGCUUCCACCUAUUUGGUGAAGUAGUCCACUGCUACAAUGAGGUAUUUGCGUCCUCCUGUGGCGGGCGGGAAUGGUCCAACUAAAUCCAUCCCCCAUUGGGCGAAAGGGAUGGGGCUGUCAAUUGGUUGCAUUAAUGCCGCUGGCAGGUGAGUGAUAUUGGCAUGCUCUUGGCAGGGCUUACAUUUCCGGACUAAUUUCUUCGCGUCUUCAUGCAUUGUUGGCCAAUAGUAGCCUUGCCUCAGUAGUUUGAGAGCUAAGGUCCUCCCGCUCAAGUGAUUGCCGCAGAUGCCUUCGUGUACUUAUCUAAGUACGUAAUCUGCUGUGGUCGGGUCGAGGCACUUGAGAUAGGGGAAUGAGAACCCUCGUUUGUAUAAUUCUUCUCCCACUAUGACGAAGCGAGCGGCUCUCGUCUUUAUCUUUCGUGCUUCGGUGGGAUCCGUUGGAAGUUCUCCCUUCUUGAGAUACUUCAGGAUUGGAGUGAACCAGCAUGGUUCAUCCUCCUCGGUGUACUGUACUUCAGUGGGUGAAGUUAUCUCCGGCUGAGGUGAGGUGAGUAGCGUCACCUUCCGACUUCCGAUGCUAGCCAUGGAGCUUCCAAGCCUAGCUAAUUUGUCAGCGUGGACGUUAUUGAAGCGAGGUACUUGUCUUAUCUCGUAGCUCUCGAAUUUAGACAAGAGAGUGUGCGCGAGAGCUAAAUAUUUCGCCAUGGUGUCUUCUUUAGCCUCGUAAGUUCCGAGUAUUUGAUUAAAGACGAGCUGAGAAUCGCUUUGGAUUAGGAGCUUGCGCGCUCCGGCUGCUAGGGCGAGGCGGAUUUCCGCUAUCAGUGCUCCGUAUUCAGCAACGUUGUUUGAGGCUGUGAAUUCGAAUCGUUGAGCAUAUUCGAAUUCGUCUCCGUCGGGGUUCGUUAGGACGAUACCCGCUCCACCUCAUGUGGCAGUGGAAGAUCCAUCGACGCUGACGGACCAAGUAGGUAGAGAGGUGCUUUCUUCUACAGAGGUCAUUUCGACUAGAAAGUCAGCCAAUACUUGCGCUUUGAUAGUUGGGCGGGGUUUGAAUUCCACUCCAUAUUCACUUAGCUCUAUCGCCCAUUUUGCUAAUCGCCCGGAUGUUUCGGGACUUCUUAGUAUUUGCUUCAGAGGAUAAUUGGUGAGGACCACCACCUGAUGUGACUGGAAGUAAGGUCGAAGCUUCCGAGCUGCGUUGAUGAGGGCGAGAGCGAGUUUCUCCAUGUUGGUGUAGCAUUGUUCAGCUCCUUGGAGGGCACGACUUAUGUAGUAUAUGGGUUGGUGGCCUUUUCCUCCAUCUCGGAUGAGGACUGCGCUGAUGGCAUCAGCCGAGGUAGCUAAGUACAGCAUGAGGGUGUCUCCCGGCUGUGGUUUUGUGAGCAAGGGUGGUGAUGCGAGAUAUGACUUUAACUCCAUGAAGGCCUUUUGACAUGCCUCAUCCCACUCGAACUUUUUUCCUCCCCUUAAAAUCUUGAAAAAGGGGAGAGCCUUGUUCGUUGAUCUUGAAAUGAAUCUGUUCAGGGAUGCCAAACAGCCGUUGAGCUGUUGAACUUUCUUGAUCGAUGUUGGCGGAGCCAUGGAGGUGAUUGCUUCGAUUUUCGCGGGAUUAGCUUCGAUUCCUCGCUGCAAAAUCAUAUAACCCAAAAAUUUGCCUCCUCGAACUCCGAAUGAACAUUUGAGGGGGUUGAGCUUCAUCUUAUAUUUUCGCAGGGUGGCGAAACACUGAUCCAGAUCCGUUAGGUGGUCCGAGACCUUAACACUUUUGACGAGCAUGUCGUCGAUGUACACCUCCAUAUUUUUACCGAUCUGAUCUGCGAACAUUUUGUUCACUAGACGCUGGUAGGUGGCUCCUGCGUUUUUCAACCCGAAGGGCAUGACUUGAUAGCAGUAGAUGCCUUGGUCAGUGAUGAAACUAGCCCUCUCUUGAUCUUCCAGCGCAAGAAAGAUCUGGUUAUACCCUUGGUAUGCAUCGAGGAAGCUGAGGAGCUCGCAUCUUGAGGUCGAAUCGAUGAGUUGAUCGAUUCUAGGUAGAGGAAAAGGGUCCUUAGGACAAGCUUUGUUGAGGUCGGUGAAGUCUACGCAUAGUCUCCACUUGCCCCCGGGUUUGGGAACGAGUACUACGUUCGACAACCAUUCAGGAUACUGAACUGGUCGUAUGUGGCCCGCUUCAAGGAGUUUUGCCACUUCCGCUUUGAUAUGCUUGUUGCGCUCGGGACCAAAUGUCCGUUUCCUCUGUUUGAUUGGCUUCAACCUCUUGUCGACGUUAAGCCGAUGUAGGGCUACCUGAGGGGGAAUGCCCGACAAAUCUUGGGCUUUGUAUGGGAACACAUCUCCAUUGUGUCGUAGGAAGUUGAUUAGCUGCUGCUCCGUGGUUGGAUCUAAAUCAGAUCCUAUUUGUACGAGCUUGGAGGUAUGUCCGGGAAUGAGCUCUAUGAGCUUAAGUUCUUCGACGGCUGCUAGCUUGAUGCUGUCAUCAGGUACGCUGAUGAUGAUUUCUUUAUUAUCCUCGAUGAUCGCAUUGACCCAUUUCCGUUUGUCGGAUUUUUGGGUGUCGUCUCCUUUUCCGGGUGGUUUAGGCUUCUUGGAAGGUUCUCGUAGGGCCCUUGCAUAGCACUCUCAAGCGAGACGUCUAUCUCCAAGUACUUCCCCCAUUCCAUAGGGAGUAGGGAACUUCCACUUCUGAUGAUAGGAAGAAGGCACUGACUUGAAUGUGUGGAUUGCUGGCCUCCCCAGAAUGAUGUUGUAGGGUGAUGGCCUGUCGACGACGAGGAACUUGAUUAUUUUUGUGAUUCGACAGGGAUCUUCCCCUAAAGAAACAGGCAGCUCCACUUCUCCCAUGGACAAAAUGCCUUCUCCUGUGAACCCUUUCAGGGGUGUGGAGAUGGGACUAAAACGGGCAUUAUCUAUGCCUAGCUGCUUAAAAGCGUGGAGGUACAUGAUGUCAGCUGAGCUCCCACCGUCCACUAAUAUCUUCUUGACCAAGAAGUUGGCCACCGUUGUUGUUACUACCAAUGCAUCGACAUGGUCUUCAUCUGGACCUUCAAGGUCAAAGGAGUUGAAUACUAUGAUGUGAUCAGGUCUUCGUAUUUGAUAUAUGCGUGCGGAUGGAGCAGCAUAUUCUUGAUUCAUGCGUGCUGAUCGAGCGAGGGUGCGUCUUGCAUUUUGUGAAUCGCCCCCCGCCGGUCCUCCGGAGAUAAAGGAGAUGAUUCCCCGAGUAGGCUGGUUAUCGUUGUUAUCUAGGUCACGUCGAUGACCCCCAUCCUCUCGUCUUUGUUGUUGAUCUCGAUUGUUAUCUCGGCGUGGAGGAUCAUCACGGCGCUUAUUUCGCGGCUUAUCAAUGUAUUCGCCUAAAUGGCCCUGUUUGACCAGCCUCUCAAUCGCCACCUUGAGUUGUGCACAUUUCUCCGUAGUAUGCCCUAUGUCCUUAUGGAAUCGACAAUAACGAUCCGACUUUUCUCGCUUUGCAUUUGGUUGCAUAGGACGUGGAGGCUCUGCUAAACCUCUCUGUUCUAUCACGUGAAGGAUUUCAGUGAGGCGAGCGUUUAGCGGAGUGAACCUGUUGUAGGAGGAGGAGGGUUGGCCUUGAGGUGGAAGUGUUGGGCGUCGGUCAUCGCGCCUCCUAUUGUCCUGACGGUCAUCUUCCGUUUUCCUUUUAGGAGGAGCAUGGGUAGAAGCUUCAUCUAUUCGGACGUACUUUUCGGCUCGAUUCAGCAACUCCUCUAGGUUGCCUGGGGGUCUUCCGGCGAUAGAUUCCUUGAAUCUUCCCGGUUUCAAGUUCUGCUGCAUAAUCCCGGAGAGCAUGUCUUGCCCUACACUGGGGACUUCAUGGACGGCUUCUACGAAACGCUUAAUGUAGUUGCGGAGUGUUUCGUUAUCUCUCUGUACUACAGAGAAAAGAUGAGCUGGGGUCUUGGCAUAUUGUUUGUUGAUGGCGAAUUGGUUGGUGAACCGGGUCGACAAUCGAGCGAAUGUGUCAACGGACCCUAUGGGUAGCGAGUUGAACCAAUUCAUUGCCCUCUUGGAGAGGGUGGUGCGGAACAUUUUGCACAUCGCAGCAUCCGUCGGGCCAUAUAAAUCCGCCAUGGCACUGAAUUUCUCUAUAUGCUCAUGUGGGUCGGUGGUCCCUUCAAAUUGAGGUAACCCCGAGAUCUUCACUCCUUGAGGUAAUACCUCGUUGAGAAUGUCUAUGGUGAAGGGACUGCAUCUUGUUGGGACAGGCAUUAUUUCACCCAUUAGAUUAUUAGGUUGGGGGAAAAGAUUUUGGCGAGACAUUCUGCUGUUUACCUCGCCUUCUCCCUCAUUAAAGAGAGGGAUUCUCUGUGGUGACGCAUUCCCCUGUGGGGGUGAGCGCUGACGCUGCUGUCUGGGCUGUGCCCCUCUGUGGUUAGUAGAUAGCUGUACUCGGGACCGUGGAUCCGAGGUAGAGGAGGAGACACUUAUUUGAUUCUGGAUUGGCGGUGGGGCCACAGGUGGCGCUACAGGUGGAGCUGGCGCUGGUAUCGCAUUGGGAGCGUUUGCUCCCAUCGUGGCGAUAUAUUGAGUUACGGCCUCCGUGGCGGCGCGAGUCGAGGCUUCUGCUAUCAUGCGUUGGAGCGCGUCCUCGGUUAUUUGAACCGUUCGAGGAGCAGGGAGUGGUGGAUCGGCGAGUGGUGGGUCCCGAGGGGGGAUCACCUGAACCUCGCGAGAUGGAUCUGCAGCACGUGGAGGAGCUGGCUCCGUGGCACGUGGAGGAAAUGGCUCCGCGGUACGUGGAGGAGGUGGCAUGCCAGAUCCUCCACGGACUGGGAGGUUAUUAGCUGUGUCAUUUUCUCUCCGAGCUGACGCCUCAUGAGGAUCUUGUUGGCUACGUGAUUAGGUUUGCAUCGUUCCCACAGACGGCGCCAAAAUGAUGAUGCUAAAGUAUAGCUCACCGGAGUAGUAUAGAAAACGAGCUGGGAAAGCAAAUCGGAUCAGUAGCUUGACAACUCGAUGAUCCUGAGGUCCCUGCGAAAAGAGCACGCGUGAACUAAGCCGGGGGUUGAUCCGGCGGAAACCCCUCCGACGCUCAAGUCAGAUGUACAGAUCGUAUAGAUAAUAGAGAGAAUAAAGUUCGUAGUCGAUUGUGAAUAAUUAGAACGUACCUUUACGAAUGAGUAAAAUAUCUAUUUAUAUAUCGUUGAAUGAGUUGGGCUUACUUUGUUGGGCCCAAACCUUAUUUUGAAGGAGCUUGGGCUUUCGUGUAAUGGGCCCACAUGUAUGUGAUUGGGCUUUCGUGUAGCGGGCCUAAUUGGUAGAUAAAUUUGAGGGCCCAUUGGGCCGGCCUAUUUAGGUAUAUCACACCACAACCACCGUUCACCACCUUCCACCACCCACCGCACAACCACCGCUCACAAUUUUCCAACCCCCAAUUGUUUAAUUCCUUUUACAAACCCGCCACAUGCAACCACCGUUCUCCACAUUCCACCACCCACCAAAACAAAUUAAAAGUUUGUCAUCUUCUAGAAACAUUAUAGAAUUAUCUACUAAAUGAAACAUUAUAAAAUAAAUAAAUAUAUAUCUUUAUAUAUUAUAUAGUUGCCAAACAAAUCUCCUCCACCCCACUCCUCGGUUGCCAUGAUCACUUUGCUUGAAACCUGCCGGAUUCCACCUCCGCCUAGCUCCGCCGAGCUACAACUCCCACUUACCUUCUUCGACAUCGUCUGGAUUCACUUCCAACCCAUUCGCCGCCUUCUCUUCUACGAAUAUUCCUGCUCCGAAUCACAUUUCCUAGAAACCCUAGUUCCAAACCUCAAAGAAUCACUCUCCCUCACUCUCAAACACUAUCUCCCACUCGCCGGAAACCUCCUCUACCCUCUAAACACCGACCACCAAAAGCCCCUCCUCCGCUACGUCUCCGGCGACUCCGUCUCCCUCAAAAUCGCCGUCUCCGGCGGCAACUUCGACGACCUCGUCGGAAACCACCCACGCGACGCCGAUCAGUUCUACGACUUCGUCCCGGAAAUCCCGCCGGCAACCGAAGAUUCCGAGUACAAAAUAGUCCCGGUUUUCGCUCUGCAAGUGACGCUAUUUCCCGGCCGGGGAAUUUGCAUCGGCUUCUCCAAUCUCCACAGCCUCGGCGAUGCAAGAUCGAUCGUCGGCUUUAUGUGUGCAUGGGCUUCCAUGUGCAAACUAUCCAAAGAAUCAGAAUCUCUGCCGAUUUUCGACAAAUCCGUGAUCCACGAUCCUCUCGGAAUCGACAGAAUAUUCUGGAAAGCAGUGAAGAAUAUUCCAUUCAAGUCAUCAUAUUCUUUCCCACUACCCACGAACAAGGUCAGAGCCACGUACACUCUGCGCCAAUCCGAUAUCGAAAAGCUCAAAGCUUCCGUCUUGGCCAAGAAACCCGAUUUAGGCCACGUGUCGUCUUUUGUCGUGACAGCGUCCUACAUUUGGACAACCUUGUUGAAAUCAUCUGCAGAUGAUCGCGUACAAGAUCAGAAUAUUCACGAGUACUUUGUAUUCUCCGUAGACAUACGCGAGCGGAUGAAUCCAGCAGUGCCGACAAAUUACUUCGGCAAUUGCCUUUGCGCGGGCAUAACGGAAAUCGAGCACGAAAGACUCGUCGGUGAAGAAGGGAUUGCGGUUUCUGCUGAGUUCAUGUCUGAACUCAUCAGGAACCGGAUGAACAAUAAAGACGAGGUUCUGAAAGGAGCCGAGAAUUGGAUGGAUGGGAGUAGGAACAAAGUGUGGGCCCGGGCUGUUGGAGUUUCUGGUUCGCCGAAAUUCGAUUUGUGUAGUGCGGAUUUCGGAUGGGGAAAUGCGAGGAAGCUCGAAGUUGUGUCGAUUGAUGGACAAAGGUGCUCGAUUUCGUUGUGUAAGUCGAAUGAUUCCGAGGGAGGAUUGGAGAUUGGUUUGUCUUUGCCUAAGGAG
rnacentral:lncRNA from 1 species